AUAUAUAUAUAUAGUUGAGUUGGAAUGCUAUCGGUAGAAAACGGGCUCCGUUGCCACCUAUUUGUUUUUAAUGAUGGAGCCUCCAAAUCGACGAUCGGCACCGUUGAAAAUGAUCUAUACCACUUAAAAUAUUUAGAAAUCAAAUUUUAUGCUUUUCCGAUAUUGUUCUCUUGUCCAUCAAGUGGGCGUAAAAAUGAACGGCUGAAAAUGAAUAUUUUCUAAAAAAUGAUGAUAGGAAUUUUAUAAUCAAGAUCGAGAGCAUAGAUCUUUUUCUAAAUAGUUUAAAGAAUUUUCUAACAAAAAUUCAAUUGAUUUGUAUAGUUUUACACCGUUAAACGAGAAAAUGUCUCAUAUCUACCAUUAAAAUUAUAAUUUUUGAAAUUCUUUGAUCAUUAGGCUAAUGAUGUCGAAAAGAUUUGAAAUUUGAUUUCUAGACACUUUAAGUGGUAUAGAUCAUGUUCAACAGUGCCAAUCGUCGAUUUCGAGGCUUCAUUAUCGAAAACAAAUGGGUGGCAAUGGAGCCUGUUUGCUAUCGAUAGCAUUCCGGCUCAACUCUCUCUCUCUCUCUCUCUAUAUAUAUAUAUAGUCCGGCUGGGACACUAUCGAUAGCACGAAAUAUUUGGUGUUAUCAAAUUUUCUGCCAUUAGAUUUACCUCUUUUAUAAUUUUCAUUCGUUCGAUUAUACUAUUCAACUAACCAUCCACUCGACCUUCACUACAACAAAAACGGUCUAUAGCGACACUUUUAAAUGUAGGUACAUGUCAAAAAAGUGCUGCUAGCUAAAAUUACUAACAAUUUUAAAAAGUGUUGCUAUAUGUGGGGUCGCUAGGUAUAUAGUGACAGUUAAAGAGUAUCGCUAUAACCGAAAAGAGUGCUGCUAAUUUACCAAUACUUAUUUAAGCAUUUAGCAACCGCCAAAACUCUAUCUCGUUGGCUGCGGUGGCGGAGGAGGACGACAGGAAAGACUCUUCGUCUAGAAUUUCAGUAGAUUGAGUGAAGAGAGAAGAAAAAAUGGUAAUUGAUUUUUUUUUUUUUUCUUUUCUGUUUGUAAUCGGGCCAAAUGGAUUGGGUGUGGUGGGUUGAGUAGAGUAAUCUUUUAUUUUUGGUUGGAUUGGGCUUUAUAUUUAAGCAUUAGUAGAUGUUUUUUUAAGUUUUAGGAUAAAUGGGACACUUAUUCAAAAGUGUCCCAAACAUGUGUCCCUAUAAUCUAAUUCUGUUGUAGUGCUUAGGGGGCCCACAUCAUCCUAACCGCACAUCUUUUAAUCCAAGUGCGAAAAACUUAAUAGCACCAAGUCAUUGGUGCUAUAUAUAUAUAUAGAACUAGGUAUAUAGCACCAAUGACUUGGUGCUAUUAAGUUUUUCGCACUUGGAUUAAAAUAUGUGCGGUUAUGAUGAUGUGGGACCCUAGGGUUGAGUGGUUGGUUGGUUGAAUAGUAUAAUCGAACGGAUGAAAAAUGAUAAAAGAGGUAAAUCUAACGGCAGAAAACUUGAUAGCACCAAAUGCUUCGUGCUAUUGAUAGUAUCCCAGUCGGACUCUAUAUAUAUAUAUAUAUAUAUAUGGGAUAAUUGCCUAUAUACUUCUUAUACGUUUGAAAAUAUCCGAUUUACCCCUACUAUUUUUUCCUUUCUAAAAUACCCCUCAUAUGUUUUACCGUUAUUGCAAAAUAUCCCCGCAGUUAUCUCUUAUUAAGUUAACUUCGGUUAAACGCGAGUUAAAUAUCUACCACAGUUAAAAAAAUUAAAAUACCAAUUUUGCCAUUAACUUAAGAGCAAAUAAGAAAUGUUGGUGACGGCAGAGGGGUAUAUUUGAAAAAUCCGAAAGUCAAAAUACCUUUUGUGCCUCUGACUUUAAGGGCAAAUAAGAAAAGUCGGUGAUGGUGGAAGGGUAUAUUUGAAAGGGCAAAAUAAUAAUUUUAUAUAGAUAACAGAGUUCAUUAACAGAUUUUAACUCAAGGGGUAUAUUUGAAAUAGGUUGGAAUGUAAAAAAUGUAUUUUCAAUAUUAGCCUUCUAAGAGGGGUAAAUCAGAAAGUGGGGAACUUUUCAGAGGUAUAUAAGCAAUUGCCCAUAAUAUAUAUAUAUAUGUAUGUAUUUGUGUGUGUGUGUGUGUGUGUGUGUGUGUAGAGCUACUAUGCUAUCGGAAGUAUAAAGUAGUUGGUGUUUCCGAUUUUUUAGCCAUUGGAUAAAAAAUUCUACGGUUGGGAUGAUAGCGGUCCCCUUAGGGUUGAAUGGUCCCCCUAGGAUUGAGUGUGGUCCCCAUUGGUUAAUAAUAUUAAUCCAAUGGUUAGAAAUGAUCAAUGAGGUUGAUCUAAGGGCUAAAAAAUCGAAAGCACCAACUACUUUAUGCUUCUGAUAGCAUAGCAGCUUUACUAUAUAUAUAUAUAUAUAUAACUUGCAUAUAUAUUGGUAUUUAUGUGGAAACGGAGAGAGGAUGGAUUCAUCGUGAAUCAGCGACUGAUUCUAGUGAAAUAAAAUUAUAGUUUUGAUGGUCUGGUAGUACCGGAGAUGCUGGUGCAGUCCGUUCGCAAAUCCGACGAACCGAUCGUCUGGAAUUGCAUGUUGUUCGAGGAAGGGACAAUAUUGAAAAAUCGGUAUUUUUGUAAAAUACCAACUAUUUUAUUUAUCGUUUUGCAUGAGAUCACUUAUGGAGGUGCCUUCGUGCAUUUUAUACAUGCUGUGAGGGACUCUGUAAUGUACCAGAUUGUAAUACUAAAUUAAGUGUAAAUAAAAAUAGUGUGAGAUACUAUUUUUAUUGGACUUAAAGAACUAAAUUAUGAGUCGGAAGUGACUUGUGCUGAAAUCGGAAUGAAAACAGGAGAUUUAAAAUUUUCUGUGAGAAACGGGACUGGUAUUUUUAGCAGAAAAUGCACAGUGUCAGAAAAUUAUAAAAAUCUGAAAAUAUAUCGGGAUUAUUUUUAUAAGGCUAGAUUUAAAGUUUCAUGUCAUUCUGACACCCGGAAAGUGAAAAAUAAAAUCCGACUGCUAUCUGCUAGAGCUUACAGUUCGGUAAAACUUUCGGUGACCAAAAAUGGUCGAAACUGGAAAGUUAAGAUAUUUUCUUGUUUGUUAAGUAAAACUGAGCUUGACUGUCAAAUUUGAGAGAAAACGAACAUUCAGAAGGGCUCCGACGAAGAGGAAUAGAUGUUGAGCUGCUAAACUGCUGGUGUGAAUAGUGUUUUGAGGGUGUUAAUUAUAAAAGAAGAACUUGUCUUCUUCUUCUCCUUCAACCGAGCACCAUCAGCACCUCCAACAUAACACGUUCAUGGAGGAGAGAGAAACCCUCUCUUUCUCUCUCUAAAUAUCUCUCUCAUCUCUCUAGAUCUCUCUCUCAAAUUCGCGGUGUUGGCGGAGAGCGAGCUUGUGAACGCGUUGGAAGCGACGGAUCCAGUCUUCGUGCACCCGGUUGAGCGGCGUGCUUCCGACUCGGCGUUCAAUAUUUGGUAAGUGUUUAGGAUUUGGCUAAUUCCUUUAUACUUAGUGUUCUAAUAGCCUCUAAUGUGAUCUUAGCAUGUUUUCUCCAUUUAAUUUGGAUUAUUUAGAGUGUAUGUACACGCUAGGGUUUGGAAUUGGGGUUUUAGCAAGUGAGGGUUUUGAUCUAAUUAAACCCUACUGUUCUCUAAUUGAAGGUUAGAGGCGAGCCAUUGAUGACCCUAGGUUGCGGAUUAGCGGGCGUUCGGUUGCCGAUUGCGAGGUCGGGCCGAACCGGGUAUCGUGUGCCACGGGAGCCCGAUUGCAAGUGUGGACAAGCAAUCGGAGAGCGUUGUGAGGUGGGUUGUGCUCACCGAAAUGUUUAGCUCGCUUCCAUGUCGAAGCGAAGUGAUGUUUAUUAUUUAUGCAUAUAAUGGUAGUUAAGUGCUAGAUGAAUCUAUGUGAUACAUGCUAGAUGAAUGUAUAAGGUAAAUGUUAAGUAAUGACUACCAUUGGACGAUGAAAAUAUGUGCAUGUUGACAUAUGUUGGGACUAUACUAGAUGCUAUAUAUGUAUGCAUGUUGAUAUAUCAUGAGAUGCUAGACGAUAUAUAUAUGUAUGUUAAUAUAUCUUGAGAUGUUAGAUGAUAAAUAUAGAUGUUGACAUAUAUGGAUUAUGUUAGAAGAACUAUGCAUGUUGGCAUAUAUAGAUUAUGUUAGAAGAACUAUGCAUGUUGAACUUGGGUCGAUAACUCUAGAUUGAUUAGAGAGUUCGACAUUGGAAAAUAAAAACAUGAAAACUAUGAUACUCGAUGUGGACUAGUAGAUUGUCAAGUAGAUCGAGUGGCAUUUGGAUUAGUGUAGUAGAAACACUAUGACAUGUUUUGGAACUCGUGUAGUAGAGACGCUUGUGACAUGAGUAUAGGGAAUUGUGGAUUUCCCGUGUUGUUGUUGUCCCUAGUAGGCAGGGUAUCCUCGAGUGUGAGGAUUGGAUCAUACUCACUUAGUCUGUUUUUACUUGGCGUGGUCGCUCCACCCAAGCAGUGGUCUCCGGAGUACUUCACGAUAGGGGCAGACGUAGUUGUCCCGUAGACGGCCUCGGUGUGUGAGUGUAGUUUCUCCUCACCUAUAAGAUUUUCAGAGUGAGUCUGGGCUUAACCUUUUGGUUAGCCGGUGAGAUUGGGUGACAUUCUUGUGAGCUAUGGAUAAAUCCCAGCAGAGUGGAUUGGCAUCCUAGUUGGCAUCCUAGUUAAGUGAAUUUUAGACUCAGGUGCAUGUGAGACGUCCUUCACCUCGAGCCUGGCUUUGCGCGGUACGCCGCAGAUGAUUUACUCAAGACCGAGUCGAGUGGAUAGCUUUGGAAAGGUAGAUGAAACCUUAUGAGCAGAAUUGUAAUUGACAUGAAUCUAAGAUAGAGAAAAACUUAGAUGUCAUUUGGAUAAACUAUGGAUAGUGAGUAUAAUUAGUAGAUCUACUUACCUCAUUACAUAUUGAGUUGCAUGAUUUGCAUUGUUGCAUAUUGCGAGGCAUGAAUAUGAUAAAUGAUAGUUGCAUAAAAUAUUUGAUGAUGUAUAUAUAUAUAUCUCUGUGGAUACUUGUUGGACUAACAUAUUGCAGUGCCUCCUUCGGACCUGGUGGGUCGAGGUUUUUCCUUGGGUGGUCGUACCCACUGAGAACUAUGGACAAUAGUUCUCACCCCCGUGUUGUUUUUGGGGGUACAGGUUCACACGUGAGCGGCGCGGCGGCGUGAGGACAAGGCGUAGCUUCGUAGAUAGCGCCCUACCACAGAGACCAGAGAUAGCAUUUCCCCGAGUUGCUCUAGCUAGGGGUUGUAGAAAAGAAGAAUGCAAUGUUGUAAUACUAUUGAUUGUAUUUGGAAGAAAAGAAAACGAAAAUGUAAUAUGUAAAAAGCAUGUGAUGUGAAUGCUUGUAAUAGCUUAGUUGUUUAUAUUGUUUGAUACCUUCCUUAUGCAAUCGUUGUAUGAAUACUGUUCUUGUUUGGAAUCUCUUGUAUUGUACUGUUUGCCAUGCCUAGGACGUACAGGAGAAACUCUGUCCGUUCGGUUGUCUGUUGACGACCUGAAUCCGACCAAAUAGGCGGGUCACGGGGCGUUACAGAUAAAGUGGUAUCAGAGCAUAAAGUAGAGAAUGAGAAUGGUUUAGAUGGAUUUAGGAGACUCUAGGAUAGUAAACCAUAGAAGCUAAGGAUCAUUAGAGACGAGGACUUGUGACUUGUGGCGAAAGAUUGAUCGAUUGGGUCAAGUUGGUAAACCUCUAAGACGGAUAUUAGUGGUAGGACGCGUACAACAUAAAACCGAGUGAUGAGAAUAGACGCCUUUGCGUGACUUUUGCCCGAUUUGAGUCGGUGUUAAUUGUCUCGUGUUCGACCCAGAGGGUCGAGAGUUAAUCGUGUUGUUGUGUUUCGGAUAGCGAUGAUAUCGCGUAGGCGAUCUUCAUUUAGAUCGGCGCGGGGUGGGACAAGUGAUGUCCCCGAGCGAUUUGAGGCGAGCGGAGACUUGGAACUUCGCGAGCUUCGGUGGCCCUUGCGAUCUUGAAGAGGUUAGGGGAUUCUCAUCGUGUUAAACCACUUUUGGUCAAGGUGACCAAAGUGUAGUGAGAGAGAUGGUUGGACAAAGUCCAUACGACAUUCCAACAAUGUUGGAAGGAUCAAAUUUGAGUUUAAAAAGGGAUUGGCGAGUUUUAGCAUUGCUCGACACGAAAUAGAAGUCGAACAGGUGCUAAACUGCAAUCUGGGCAUUUUGUACCGGUACGGUAUCAAGGUGGUACCGGUACUGUAACACACUGAACUUUUGCAAAUUUGCAAGAUUCGAGUGUUUGAUCUGUGUUUCGAGUUUUUUCAGAUUUUCUGGAGGGUUGUUAACAGUGUUCCGACCUAUGAUUCGCAUCCCGAGAAUCGAGGUUUAAGCUUAGCACCAAUAUCUCCAAAGUGAAGAUUAUUGGGUUGCUCUCUGGUUUGUCUCUACAGGAAAGUGUACCGGUACAACAUUGAUGUUGUACUGGAACAAGUGUUGUACCGGUACAACAUCGGAAGUGUACCGGUACAAAUGAGUUUUUCUGUCAACCCGAGGCUCGGGUUUGUGCGUACUAGCAAUUUGUACCGGUACACUUUCCCGUGUACCGGUACACAAUGCGGAAUGCAGUCUGCUUGUUUUUGAGGUUUUGGAAUUGUAGCAACUCUACAAGUACCCCACGCCCCCUCUCUUGUUCCUUGAGCUUGGACCAGUAGGGAACAAGGUGAGAGAGCCCCUCCACUCCCCCUCUUUGAUUUUCUUUUUCCUUUUCUUGGAUUUUUAGAGGAUUGAUCUCCUCUUUUGCUUCUAUUGGGCUUUUGGGUGAUCUUUUCACCAUUGGAGAAGCAUUGGAGAAGGGAUUGGAGCUUACUUGAGGGAAGGACUUCAAUCCUAGUUGGUUUUUUUUUAGGAUUGAAGCUUCUAGUGAGGUUAGUAACUAAGAUCUCUCUUUUGGAUCUUGUUUUGGUAGAGAUUUUGAUAUGAAACUCUAGAAAUGGGAUUUAGGGUUUAUUUUGGUGAUUUUGGAUUAGUAGCUUAUAGGACCUAUUUGAUUGGUUUAGAAUCUUUGUAUAGGUUCGAUUAGAGGGCCUCUACCUCCCAUUUGGAGAUCGAGAGAGGUUUUCUUUACAUUAGGUGAGUUUUCACCAUUUUGCUUGAGACGGUUAAUGCUUGAGCUCGCUAGUGUUCAUAACGUUCGUAUAUCUCUCUUUUCUUUACCUUUAGGGUGCCAGGAGAGUAGCGGGCACCUUCGUCGGCGCAAACGAAGGGCGGCUAAGAGUUUCGGUGGGUUUGACUUCAUUGAAUACGGGAGAAAAUCCUCCUAUGUUAUUUUUGGUUAUCGUAAAGUAGAAAUUCAUGCAUAUUCAUGCUAGAUAGCAUUUAUGUGAAUUUUAGAAUGCUUAAAAUUCUUAUGUUAUGCAUAUUGGAAAAUCGCCUCUAUGUAGUAGAGAUACAUAUGUGCAUUGUAGACAUGCAUGUGGUUAGCAUUCUAUCUUAAGAUUUGGGCUCAUGUUUCAUAUGAUGUAAAUGACUAGAAUUAUGUACUCUUGGACACAAAACUCAUGGUCGGAUAUAGUGGACAAAAGUGCCAUAAAUGGGCACUCAACCUAGUAAACGGUUAAACUGCAACAUGAUGACUUACUGAUGGACCAUUGAGACAUCGACUAUAUUUCAUGUUUUAGACAUGAUGACAUUGGACUUGAGACGGAUUUUUACGCUUGCUUGUCAUUGUGCCUAUUCGCACAUGCUUGUGAGGGUCGCUCCCCAACAGCCGGCACGCCGGAGAUAGCCAUCGCGACACAUGCUUGCCCGUGCGGGAUUGGGUGCCGAAAUGGUAUGCCGUGGGGGAGGCUCAUUUCUAGAGUAGGGAUGUUGACUACCACGGGGCCAUUAGGCACGGCGCAAGCCGGACUACCCACGGGUAGGUCCUAUGUGACUUGGAACAAGUGGAACCAAAAUAUAAAUUGGACAAUUAGACAAGUUAGUAAACAAUGAUAUUUUACUACUUACAUUGUGAACAUUAUCUUAGUUAUACUCAUGCAUAUUCGGGUUUGAAUAGCAUUCAUACUUAUGCAAAAUCAUGCUAAGUAGUGACAUCACGGUUUGGUAAGUAUUCAUGUCUAAAUACGUAUUGUUCUUUUCGCUUUUAUACUUGCACUUACAUCCUUUGGCUUUGGGCCUAGUGGUGCAUUUCAUUGAAGUCAGUAAUUACCCACUGGGAACUAUUAUCUAAUAGUUCUCACGCCCCUGUUUUAUGGUUUUCUUUCAGAGUCCUCUACACCGGUGGAGGCACAGGAUCGCGGUAAGGGGAUCGCCAGCUAGAUAGCGAGGAGUUACUUUUUGCUCUCAGGUGGUUUCCUCUUUUUUGGUAUCUAGUAGAGAGUGAGAGAUUUUUGUAUCCAUGUAUAUAGACCACCAUUUGGAUAUGUGUAGCACUUGUAUUUGGGUUCUUCUUUGUUCUACUUUAUGGUUUACCCUUAAUGGAUUUUAGCUCUUUUAUAUGCCUCUAUAUCAUAAAAUCUAAAUGUUGUAUGCUCGGAUAUCUCUAAAUCUUUGUAUAUUAUUGCUUUAUUUAUCGUUUUGUUGUAGACGCCUUAUAUGUUGUAGACGUAUGGCGGGUCGGACACGCACCGGGCGGGCUUCCGCUGGGUCCCGGGGCGUGACAGGUACCCCGUAACAGACCAAGAGUAGCAGCUCUCGGGUUUGAGAAAAUUUGGCUGUUAAACUGGUGACACCCCUGGCGCGUACCGGUACCAGAGCAUCUACCCGAGAAGGCAGCUCUCGGGUUGGCCUCUGCGUAGCUGUUAAACCGGUGACAAAGGUCCCGCGUAUCUGUACCAACUGCAGAAAUCUGCAAUUUUGGUCUGUUGCAAUUGGGGAUUGUUUGAGGGAGUUUUUAUGCAAUUGUGGCAGCUUAUAAAAUGGCCCCAACUCCUCAUCUUUUGUUCACAGCCAGAGACCACCCCUACAUGUGGUUUUUCUCCCUCUCUCUCUCCAGGAGCUUUUCCAAAGAGAGAAUUGGUGGAGAUUGGAGGAGAUUUGAGAAUUAGGCCUUGUGGAUAGAUCAAGGCCGUGCAGUUGUGCGGGUGGAGCGCGAGUCUUAUUGCAAGGAAAGGGGAAUAGGACGGCCAACGAGUGGAUCCGGUGGUCCGUCAAGUUCUCAACUGAUUGCAAUAUGUUUGCACUCGCGAUCCCGAGUCCUGGGGGCCUACCACACAUGGUCCUCGGCAAGAUGUGUUGUUUGUGGGUGUCCUCGUUACCCACAAUAGUGUGAGCUGCGAGAGGGCAAGUGCUACAGGUGUGGGCAACCAGGCUAUAUGCAGGAUGAGAGUCCGCAAGGUGGUAGCCAGGCCUUGACACCGGUGACAGCCUUUUCCUCUCUGGGACAGCCUGCAGGUGUGGCACCUGCAGCAUGGUCGGAAGAGCGGGCAUUAGGGACGAUAAAACCGGAGGGUUCGCUGCGGGUGCGAAGUUGCCGUGGAUACGCGAACCGGGUUGCAGAACCUGCUACUACCGACGAUGCCAUGGCAGGUAUGAGUUAAUUGAAGUAAGCAUAUGCUUCUGCAGGAUGUAGAGUUGGUGCAUUGCAUGCUUAUAUCAUAUGGUAAGUUGCUACUAUUUAUAUAUUAGUAUAGUAGGGACCGAGUGGACGAGUAAGUGUAGAUACCCAGGCAUGCUUAUGCAGUGAGAAUGUAGUGCCUGCUAGAGCAGGUAGAGAGCUAGAUAGCACUAGUGAAUUGCUAGUGAUGGUCUGUGGGCGAGAAGUGGGACUCGCGGUAGAGAUGAAAAAUGGCGGACCGACUCUCAAAGCAAUGUUGUUAGUAAAUUGCGAGAGUUGAGCCAAGACCCUUGAGAAUACCCGAGUAGUUCGAGUAUUUCGGAUGUUGCCCCGGUAGAUCGAACAGUGAAAGUAGAAUCACUGUUGACGGAACGGUUGGUUAGCGGCUAGGUACAAGCACGUGGGCGUAGUAGAACCUCGAAUUGAGGUGGGUGAGUCGUGCUCAUGUGGCCGAUGUGCAUAGGCAAGGCUGCCUAAUGCGCGGUCCCGGGAAUCAAGUCUAUCAUGAACUCAAUUUUUCGGUCCGGCGGCAUCCCAGGUAACUCUGCCGGAAACACAUCUGGAAAUUUCCGCACAACCGCCAACUCUUCGAGAGUCGGAACUACUCGAUCAACUUCUACAACGGUCACCAGGUAAGCCGUGCAACCGCUGUUAACCAGCUUCCUCGCUCUUGUCGCCGAUAUCGUCGCGGCGAAACACGAACUCUUGCAAGCUCGAAACGUGAAUUCCUCGUGUCCCGGCUCCCGAAAUGUGAUCACUCUAGUUUUGCAGUCAAUAGACACAUAAUACUUCGAGAGCCAGUCGAUGCCCAAUAUAACAUCGAACUCCUUCAACCUUUUUAGCAGCAAUAGGUCGAUCGACAUAAUCCAGUCGCCUACUUGUACUGGGCACGCCAAACACCGCUUCCUAACAAGGAAUGAUCGUCCGGGUCCUUCUACACGCCAAACAUUCUCCCCCAGACGAAACUCAAUGUCAUGCACUUGUGCGAAUGAUCGAUUAAUGAAGGAGUGAGACGCGCCAGUAUCAAAAAGAGCUCUUGCUCGAACACCGUUAACCAAAAUCAUACCUGCCACCACAUUGCGCUCCUCAGCUUUGGUGGGCUCCUCUUCUUGCACUUGAGCGGCAUACAUCCUUCCGCUGAGAGCCGAUCGUACAGGCUCAGGUUGACGUGGUGCCGCCGCACGCCCAGCCGACGCCACAGCAGGCGGAACUCCAUAACGGGCUGGAAUUGCCUGAGUCAAUGCAACAGAUGGGGCCGGUGAGACCCAUCCUUGAGGACAGUCACGGAUGAUAUGCCCGGCUUGCCCGCACUUGAAGCACCUUCCUCGGCGCUGCUCACACACACCGGCUCGGUGGUCUCCGCCACAAAAGAUACACCGCUGUGCUCCACGGCCAUUCGAUUGCGAUCGUGGAUACUUCGGGGGCCUUCUAGAACUCGACUGUCCCCCCGAACCACCGCCCGGCCGCUUCUUCCCUUUAUCCUUCUCAUACAUCUCACGGUCCUCACGCUCACAGGCGUUCCCAUGCUAGACCCACAAGGCACGGUCCAAAGCCUCUGCAAAAGUGUGGAACUUAAAGGCAUGCACCGUCUUAAACACUCCGGGUCGGAGUCCUCUCACGAAGCAAUCCGCUCGGUCUUGCUCCGUUGUCGCCACGUCUGGGACGCAGUUCAGAAGAUGGGUGAAUUCCCGCUCAUACUCCCGAACCGUACGGUUGCCUUGCUUCAGCUUCCUGAAGUCUUCCCGCAUCUUUCUCUUGUCGCUGUCGGGGAAGUACUCCGCGAACAUCAAUCUUCGGAACUCCUCCCAAUUGAUCGGGGGAAGAUCCGGAGAUCGAUCCUGCUUCACUCUUUUCCGCCACACCCUGGCCCACUUGUCGAAACAAUGAGCGGCCAAAUUCACUUUGUCCCGCUUCUCGGUGUAAAUGUCCUCGAACAGGGUCUCCAUCGAGGCCAACCAAGUCUCCACUGUCCAAGGAUCUAUCACUUCUCCAUCGAAUGUAGGCGGGUGGAACUUCGUAAACCUCGUGAGAGCCGUGUAUCCACGCUCUCGCUCCGCCUCCUGAGCCGCUGCUCUGGGCGUAGGGGAUCUAGACGCCGCAGGAGGAAUAUCCACCGGUGGGGGUUGCGCCGCCACCGGAACCGGCGCAACGCCCACACUCUCAGCCGCAUUGGGAGCGCGAACCGAAGGCGCAGGCGGAUCGUGGCCUUGGCCAACCGCCGCAGCCGUUGCUUGACGCUCCAUAAGCUCCUGGAGCCGAUGAAACCCCCCUGCUAGCGCAGCAACCUGCGCUCGCAACUCUUGUACCUCACUAGCCCUCUAGCGCCACCGGAGGCACAGCUGACUCGGGCACCACAGGAGGUGGGGCCGGAGCAAUCCGACGCACGUAGCGUCUCUUCGGUGCCAUAAGCUCCUGAAAUGCAAACAAUCGGUUAAUCACCUAACCCAACAACGUCUUCGCAGUUACGAAACGACAUAGCUCAACUACGUUAAUCAGACGGAAGCUCAUAAGUGUACCCGUUCUUGACUCUCGGCAUUGUGUUGUCGGCCGCCAACACAACCGCCUUAGGCCAAGGACUAGUAUCACUCAAUUCACCUCUAGAAACUACUAGAGCAUCAUCAUCCACUUCGACCCAAUCUAUCAACUUCCGUCGCAUCAUCGGUCCACGUCGCACUCACGCACCUAUAACCUUAUGGUUCAACAUCCUAGAGUCUCCUAGGUCAGUCCUAGACUCUCUCUUUUGCUUGCUCUUACUCGCUCUGAUACCACGACUGUCACGCCCCCGCCCCAAGUCCGCUACCGAUUUGGUCCGGUUCGGGCGCGGCGAAUGGACCGCCGAACGGACAGCAACUCCCCUGUCCGCCCAAGGCUUCAACAAAGAGGUCAUGUACACAAGUUCCCAGGAAACACACUUGUUCACAUACAUGAUCUAACAAUGACGACGAAGCACAAACAGUGCUUAACAACCAAGAGCAAGCAACACAGGUAAGUAUACAAGUUAUAAAAAGAGAGAAGUACUUAACUAUUGAACUCAUUUAACUUUACAUAACUCUUUCAUCUUUUACAGUCUUCCAAAACAUAUGUACAAUCACUCUCAAAUCCUCACCCUAUACAACAUCUACUCUCAAACAUAGUUACAAGGUAAAGCUAAUGCAAAAGGAAGUAGAGUUAGCUAUGUACAUAUGCCACUAUGGUGCUAGGCCCUUGCCGCGAUUCUCAUCGGGGCUACUCGAACUCGGACCUACAACAAAGUGGUAUGAGAACUACAAAUAGUUCCGAGUGGGUUCGGCCGCCAACUCCGCCGAUCUUCCCACUAGGUCUAAGCAGGCACAGAUAGAUAUGCAGAUAGAUAGAUAUAUAUAACUGAAAGCAUUAACAAGGAAUAAGCAAGUAUAGGUAUGAACAUCUAACUAUGCCUCAAUCUGGAAUCAUGCAUGCAUGUCAUUCAUAUUGAAUUCGUAGCUACCAUACUACUAUGCUCAAUAAUAAGGGUUGUUCAUUACUUUACCCAAUCAUUCGAUCAUCCGGCAACACAAUCUCACAUUGAUAAGUCUCAUAGGGAAAAGCCUCGCUGAACUAUUCUCCGAGACCGCCUGCGGACAGAUACACUCACUGUCCAGGCAGCGCAUGGCGACUGCCCCUCGAGUGACAAAUACUCCGGAGUGCACAGCCUGUGGGGAGCGACCCUGACAAGCGCAGACAGGCUAUGUGAGUAUAAUCUGAACUCACGAACUGGUCCUACCAACUAAGGUUGGUGUCAACAUAGAAUAAAGCGUUCCAAUACCCAAGCUCAUAGUGUUUUGCUACACUAGGGUUCUUAUGUUCAAUAUCAACUAGAUGCCACUCGUUUGUGUUCAUGGUUAACUAGAUGCCACUCGUUCUUUUGACAAGUUCUCAUUACUCUAGUCCACAUUGUACUAGGUUUCCAUAGCUACAUGUACAUCCAACACAUAUAGGAUUAAACUGUAUCAUACUACCUUGAGCACACUAGGUUCUAGUGCUAUAUCAACUAAGACGCAUUAACACUAGCAUGCAAACAUAGAUAUUACUAACUUAGUUCCCUAUAUGCCAUAUGUUCAAUAUGCAACUGAUCAACAUAGUAACUCAGACAUAGGGAGCAGUUCAACUGCUUCGGGAUGGCACUCCCCCACCUUUUGGUAGUGCCGCGUAGUUAGCAAACUCGACGUUGCGGUCCUCGUACGUCGCUUCAACUCCUCGGGGGAAAGCGAACCCUCAAGUAUCAGUUUCGGCGAUAUCUUCGCGCUCGCUCGUCGGAUCGACGAACCGUCUUCGCCUACGCGUUCGAAGACUUAGCAAUUAGGUUUACGACCUAUUAAACAAGAUCAAAACCUUACAUUUCCAAAAAUCCCUUAUCGUGCCCUAGAAUGGCAACGAUGGAGAAAUCCGUGGUGCGAGCUUCCAUUUCGAGCUCGAACCAUCUCCUUAACCUCAAUAGGUUCCAUUCGAACCAUUUCUAAGCUAUAAAACCCAAUCUUAAGAAAUCCACCAUGGUUGGGUUUGGAGCUUACCUCUUUACCAAGCUCCAAGCAUGCUCUAGCUUGAGGGAGAGAGAGAGGAAGAUGAUCUUCUUCUUCUCCUUGCUCUUCUCCUUCUUCUUUCUCUACUUCUUCUUUUCUUUCUUCUCCUUCUUCUCUUCUUCUUUUCCUUCGUUCUAGAGAGAGAGAGGGAGAGAAAGAAAGGGCAAAUGAGACAACAGAGAGAGAGAGAGGGGUCCCCCACCUCUCACAUAGGCCAAUUUGCAAAUAAGCCCCUCAACUUUCCAUCUAUUAAAUAGCCUCUCACUGGGCAUUUUCGCAGUGAGGGACCGGUCCUAGCUCGGGGAGACCGGUCCCCGAGAGCCUCACAUUCUGGCAGAGGGGAUUUCGCGUUCGGGAACCGGUCCCUGCCUGAGAGACCGGUCCCCGAGAGACCGGUCCUUGUCCGAGAGACCGGUUCCCGAGAGUUGAAUUUUCGGGACUUAGCCAAAUUUCGGCUUCUCUCGCUGGGUUAACGUUCGGGGACCGGUUCUUACCUGCCAGAGACCGGUUGCAUCAAGGAUCCCCGCCGACCCAGCCUGAUGGGACCGGUCCCUCCCUGCCAGGGACCGGUCCCCGAGAGCAAUUCUGCUCCAGUGCAGAUUUUGCACUGCAGCUCUCGCGGACUUUUCCUUAAUGCACUUUAUGCAUUCUAAGUAUCUUCGGACUUUCCGAAGCUUACACCCUCGACGAUUAGUCGGUUCCAAACGAAGUCUAAUCCUCGAAUUUUGAGAAUUCACUUCCUUACAUCCUCCCCACCUUAAAAGAGUUUCGUCCUCGAAACGAACUCAAUAUUACAAAACUUAUUUAGAACUUUAAAUUCUAAACUCAUACCUCGAUUUACUCCUCGAACAAGUGAGGGUGAUUCGCUUUCAUCUCCUCCUCGAGCUCCCAGGUAGCUUCGCGAUCGCUAUGAUUGCUCCACCGGACUCGAACAUAGGGAAUUUCUCGAUUCCUCAACUUACGUACUUCCCGAGCCAAAAUCAUCACCGGAAACUCCUCGUAGCUCAUAUCUUCUUGCAGUUCCGGCGGUUCAUAAACUAAGACAUGCUCAGGAUCAUGCACAUACUUGCGGAGAUUAGAGACGUGGAAUACGUUGUGCACACCCGCAAGCUUGGGUGGCAAUGCUAGUCGGUAAGCCACCGUCCCAAUCCGCUCCAAGAUCUCGUAGGGGCCGAUAUAACGAGGACUUAACUUCCCUCGCACCCCAAAUCUUUUCACGCCUCUCAUUGGCGAAACUUUCAAGAACACGCGGUCACCCACCGUGAACUCCAAGUCUCUAUGGCGCCUAUUUGAAUAGCUUUUCUGUCGAGACUGCGCCGUGAGCAAUCUCUUGCGAGCAAGGUGGACUUUCUACUCCGCCUCUUGCAACACAUCGGGACCGAACUCUACAUGCUCGCCCACAUCACUCCAAUGAAUGGGAGAUCGGCACUUCCGCCCAUAAAAAGCCUCGAACGGUGCCAUUCCCACACUCGCGUGAUAGCUGUUGUUGUAGGCGAACUCGGCCAUCGGCAGGUGCUUACACCAACUCCCCUUAUAAUCAAUGGCACACGCCCGCAACAUAUUCUCCAAGGUCUGAAUGGUUCUCUCGGUCUGCCCAUCAGUCUGAGGAUGAAACGCGGUACUGAACUCGAGUUGUGUGCCAAGGGCUUCCUGCAGGCUUUUCCAAAAGUGUGAAGUGAACUUGGGGUCUCGAUACGACACAAUCGACUUCGGCACCCCGUGCAGCCUCACCACCUCAUCAAGAUACACCUGCGCUAGCUUCUCACCUGCCCAAGUGUUGUGGAUCGGCAGAAAAUGCGCCGAUUUCGUCAAACGAUCCACAAUCACCCAAAUCGCGUCAUGGCCACUCGUCGAGCGAGGUAAACCAAUGACGAAGUCCAUCGACACGUCUUCCCAUUUCCAGACGGGAAUGGAUAAACUCUGAAGCUUCCCCGCUGGAAACCGACACUUCGCUUUCACCUGUUGGCAUACCAAACACUUCGCCACGAAGCGCCCAAUAUCGGCCUUCAUUCCCGGCCACCAAUAAAGCGUCUUCAACUCAUGGAACAUCUUGGUGCCGCCCGGGUGGUCGACGUAAGGAGACCAAUGCGCUUCUUGCAAAAUUAGCUUGCGAAGCUCCUCGUCGUUUGGCACACACCACCGGUUCCGAAACCGAAGUGCACCACUAGCAUCCAUGCUAAAAUCUCCACCACGGCCACUCUCAACAUUGUGCCACACCUUCUGGAGAAUUGGGUCCGCCGGUUGCAGACUUUUGAUCCUCUCCAGUAAGGUCGGUUGGAUCACCAACGUCAUCAACCUAGCCGGAAUUUCUGGAGCCACCACCUCAAGAUCCAUCUUCCCCAUUUGUAAUCGCAGGGGCGUCUAACUUGUAACCCACAAAGCUAGGUUCUCCGCGGAUUUUCGGCUAAGUGCAUCCCCACAUUUGCUUUUCCGGGGUGGUAAAGGAUAUCAACAUCGUAAUCCUUAAGCAAUUCCAACCACCGCCGUUGUCGCAUGUUCAGCUCCUUCUGGGUAAAUAAGUAGUUUAGGCUUUUAUGGUCGGUGUAGAUCUCACAAUGAGCACCAUAUAAAUAGUGUCUCCAAAGCUUCAAAGCAAAGAUCACCGCCGCCAAUUCCAAAUCAUGUAUGGGGUAGUUCUUUUCAUAGCUUUUCAACUGACGGGAUACAUAAGUGAUCACCCCCCCGCCUUGCAUCAGCACACACCCCAAACCCAGAUAGGAUGCAUCGCUAUAUACUACAUAAUUUUCACCCUGCACCAGCAAGGCGAGUACCGGAGUCGUAGUUAAUCUUUUCUUCAACUCUUUAAAACUCCGGUCGCAGUCGUCGCUCCAAACGAAUUUGAUGCCCUUCUGCGUCAGACGGGUGAGUGGAGUCACGAUCUUCGAAAAUCCUUCCACAAACCGUCGAUAAUAACCUGCUAGGCCUACAAAACUCCGGACCUCAGCAACGUUUGUCGGGCGCGGCCAACUCUCAAUCGCCUCUACUUUCCUCGGGUCCACAGAAACACCGCCCUCGGAAAUAACAUGCCCGAGAAAAGCGACUUCUCGGAGCCAGAAGUCACACUUCUUUAGCUUUGCGUAUAAUUUCUUCUCCCGAAGGAUCUGAAGUACUACGCGCAAAUGCUCCGCAUGCUCCUCUUCACUGUGUGAAUAGACCAAGAUGUCGUCUAUGAAGACUACGACAAAUCGGUCUAGACACUCCCUGAACACUCGGUUCAUCAAGCUCAUGAACGCAGCCGGGGCAUUUGUAUGCCCAAAUGGCAUCACGGUGAACUCGUAGUGUCCAUACCGCGUACGGAAUGCGGUCUUCGGAACAUCCUCCGGCUUAAUCUUCAAUUGAUGGUAGCCGGAUUGAAGGUCAAUCUUCGAGUACACCCGCGACCCCUGUAACUGAUCAAACAAGUCGUCAAUGCGGGGUAACGGGUACUUGUUCUUCACGGUGACCUUAUUCAACUCGCGAUAAUCCACGCAGAGUCGAAAAGAUCCAUCCUUCUUGCGCACGAACAAUACCGGGGCUCCCCACGGUGACACGCUCGGUCUGAUGAACUCCUUGUCGAGAAGAUCCUACAACUGAUCUCUUAACUCUCUUAACUCAGCCGGUGCCAUACGAUACGGGGCCUUUGAUAUCGGCGCGGUCCCGGGAAUCAAGUCUAUCAUGAACUCAAUUUUUCGGUCCGGCGGCAUCCCAGGUAACUCUGCCGGAAACACAUCUGGGAAUUCCCGCACAACCGCCAACUCUUCGAGAGUCGGAACUACUCGAUCAACUUCUACAACGGUCACCAGGUAAGCCGUGCAACCGCUGUUAACCAGCUUCCUCGCUCUUGUCGCCGAUAUCGUCGCGGCGAAACACGAACUCUUGCAAGCUCGAAACGUGAAUUCCUCGUGUCCCGGCUCCCGAAAUGUGAUCACUCUAGUUUUGCAGUCAAUAGACACAUAAUACUUCGAGAGCCAGUCGAUGCCCAAUAUAACAUCGAACUCCUUCAACCUUUUUAGCAGCAAUAGGUCGACCGACAUAAUCCAGUCGCCUACUUGUACUGGGCAUGCCAAACACCGCUUCCUAACAAGGAAUGAUCGUCCGGGUCCUUCUACACGCCAAACAUUCUCCCCCAGACGAAACUCAAUGUCAUGCACUUGUGCGAAUGAUCGAUUAAUGAAGGAGUGAGACGCGCCAGUAUCAAAAAGAGCUCUUGCUCGAACACCGUUAACCAAAAUCAUACCUGCCACCACAUUGCGCUCCUCAGCUUUGGUGGGCUCCUCUUCUUGCACUUGAGCGGCAUACAUCCUUCCGCUGAGAGCCGAUCGUGCAGGCUCAGGUUGACGUGGUGCCGCCGCACGCCCAGCCGACGGAACCCCAUAACGGGCUGGAAUUGCCUGAGUCGAUGCAACAGAUGGGGCCGGUGAGACCCAUCCUUGAGGACAGUCACGGAUGAUAUGCCCGGCUUGCCCGCACUUGAAGCACCUUCCUCGGCGCUGCUCACACACACCGGCUCGGUGGUCUCCGCCACAAAAGAUACACCGCUGUGCUCCACGGCCAUUCGAUUGCGAUCGUGGAUACUUCGGGGGCCUUCUAGAACUCGACUGUCCCCCCGAACCACCGCCCGGCCGCUUCUUCCCUUUAUCCUUCUCAUACAUCUCACGGUCCUCACGCUCACAGGCGUUCCCAUGCUAGACCCACAAGGCACGGUCCAAAGCCUCUGCAAAAGUGUGGAACUUAAAGGCAUGCACCGUCUUAAACACUCCGGGUCGGAGUCCUCUCACGAAGCAAUCCGCUCGGUCUUGCUCCGUUGUCGCCACGUCUGGGACGCAGUUCAGAAGAUGGGUGAAUUCCCGCUCAUACUCCCGAACCGUACGGUUGCCUUGCUUCAGCUUCCUGAAGUCUUCCCGCAUCUUUCUCUUGUCGCUGUCGGGGAAGUACUCCGCGAACAUCAAUCUUCGGAACUCCUCCCAAUUGAUCGGGGGAAGAUCCGAAGAUCGAUCCUGCUUCACUCUUUUCCGCCACACCCUGGCCCACUUGUCGAAACAAUGAGCGGCCAAAUUCACUUUGUCCCGCUUCUCGGUGUAAAUGUCCUCGAACAGGGUCUCCAUCGAGGCCAACCAAGUCUCCACUGUCCAAGGAUCUAUCACUUCUCCAUCGAAUGUAGGCGGGUGGAACUUCGUAAACCUCGUGAGAGCCGUGUAUCCACGCUCUCGCUCCGCCUCCUGAGCCGCUGCUCUGGGCGUAGGGGAUCUAGACGCCGCAGGAGGAAUAUCCACCGGUGGGGGUUGCGCCGCCACCGGAACCGGCGCAACGCCCACACUCUCAGCCGCAUUGGGAGCGCGAACCGAAGGCGCAGGCGGAUCGUGGCCUUGGCCAACCGCCGCAGCCGUUGCUUGACGCUCCAUAAGCUCCUGGAGCCGAUGAAACCCCCCUGCUAGCGCAGCAACCUGCGCUCGCAACUCUUGUACCUCACUAGCCCUAGCUGGCUCUAGCGCCACCGGAGGCACAGCUGACUCGGGCACCACAGGAGGUGGGGCCGGAGUAAUCCGACGCACGUAGCGUCUCUUCGGUGCCAUAAGCUCCUGAAACGCAAACAAUCGGUUAAUCACCUAACCCAACAACGUCUUCGCAGUUACGAAACGACAUAGCUCAACUACGUUAAUCAGACGGAAGCUCAUAAGUGUACCCGUUCUUGACUCUCGGCAUUGUGUUGUCGGCCGCCAACACAACCGCCUUAGGCCAAGGACUAGUAUCACUCAAUUCACCUCUAGAAACUACUAGAGCAUCAUCAUCCACUUCGACCCAAUCUAUCAACUUCCGUCGCAUCAUCGGUCCACGUCGUCCUCACGCACCUAUAACCUUAUGGUUCAACAUCCUAGAGUCUCCUAGGUCAGUCCUAGACUCUCUCUUUUGCUUGCUCUUACUCGCUCUGAUACCACGACUGUCACGCCCCCGCCCCAAGUCCGCUACCGAUUUGGUCCGGUUCGGGCGCGGCGAAUGGACCGCCGAACGGACAGCAACUCCCCUGUCCGCCCAAGGCUUCAACAAAGAGGUCAUGUACACAAGUUCCCAGGAAACACACUUGUUCACAUACAUGAUCUAACAAUGACGACGAAGCACAAACAGUGCUUAACAACCAAGAGCAAGCAACACAGGUAAGUAUACAAGUUAUAAAAAGAGAGAAGUACUUAACUAUUGAACUCAUUUAACUUUACAUAACUCUUUCAUCUUUUACAGUCUUCCAAAACAUAUGUACAAUCACUCUCAAAUCCUCACCCUAUACAACAUCUACUCUCAAACAUAGUUACAAGGUAAAGCUAAUGCAAAAGGAAGUAGAGUUAGCUAUGUACAUAUGCCACUAUGGUGCUAGGCCCUUGCCGCGAUUCUCAUCGGGGCUACUCGAACUCGGACCUACAACAAAGUGGUAUGAGAACUACAAAUAGUUCCGAGUGGGUUCGGCCGCCAACUCCGCCGAUCUUCCCACUAGGUCUAAGCAGGCACAGAUAGAUAUGCAGAUAGAUAGAUAUAUAUAACUGAAAGCAUUAACAAGGAAUAAGCAAGUAUAGGUAUGAACAUCUAACUAUGCCUCAAUCUGGAAUCAUGCAUGCAUGUCAUUCAUAUUGAAUUCGUAGCUACCAUACUACUAUGCUCAAUAAUAAGGGUUGUUCAUUACUUUACCCAAUCAUUCGAUCAAUCCGGCAACACAAUCUCACAUUGAUAAGUCUUAUAGGGAAAAGCCUCGCUGAACUAUUCCCCGAGACCGCCUGUGGACNGGCCGCCAACUCCGCCGAUCUUCCCACUAGGUCUAAGCAGGCACAGAUAGAUAUGCAGAUAGAUAGAUAUAUAUAACUGAAAGCAUUAACAAGGAAUAAGCAAGUAUAGGUAUGAACAUCUAACUAUGCCUCAAUCUGGAAUCAUGCAUGCAUGUCAUUCAUAUUGAAUUCGUAGCUACCAUACUACUAUGCUCAAUAAUAAGGGUUGUUCAUUACUUUACCCAAUCAUUCGAUCAAUCCGGCAACACAAUCUCACAUUGAUAAGUCUUAUAGGGAAAAGCCUCGCUGAACUAUUCCCCGAGACCGCCUGUGGACAGAUACACUGACUGUCCAGGUAGCGCAUGGCGACUGCCCCUCGAGUGACAAAUACUCCGGAGUGCACAGCCUGUGGGGAGCGACCCCGACAAACGCAGACAGGCUAUGUGAGUAUAAUUUGAACUCACGAACUGGUCCUACCAACUAAGGUUGGUGUUAACAUAGAAUCAAGCGUUCUAAUACCCAAGCUCAUAGUGUUUUGCUACACUAGGAUUCUCAUGUUUAAUAUCAACUAGAUGCCACUCGUUUGUGUUCAUGGUUAACUAGAUGCCACUCGUUCUUUUGACAAGUUCUCAUUACUCUAGUCCACACUGUACUAGUUUUCCAUAGCUACAUGUACAUCCAACACAUAUAGGGUUAAACUGUAUCAUACUACCUUGAGCACACUAGGUUCUAGUGCUAUAUCAACUAAGCCACAUUAACACUAGCAUGCAAACACAGAUAUUACUAACUUAGUUCCCUGUAUGCCAUAUGUUCAAUAUGCAACUGAUCAACAUAGUAACUCAGACAUAGAGAGCAGUUCAACUGCUUCGGGAUGGCACUCCCCCACCUUUUGGUAGUGCCGCGUAGUUAGCAAACUCGACGUCGCGGUCCUCGUACGUCGCUUCAACUCCUCGGGGGAAAGCGGACCCUCAAGUAUCAGUUUCGGCGAUAUCUUCGCGCUUGCUCGUCGGAUCGACGAACCGUCUCCGCCUACGCGUUCGAAGACUUAGCAAUUAGGUUUACGACCUAUUAAACAAGAUCAAAACCUUACAUUUCCAAAAAUCCCAUGUCGUGCCCUAGAAUGGCAACGAUGGAGAAAUCCAUGGUGCGAGCUUCCAUUUCGAGCUCGAACCAUCUCCUUAACCUCAUAGGUUCCAUUCGAACCAUUUCUAAGCUAUAAAACCCAAUCUCAAGAAAUCCACCAUGGUUGGGUUUGGAGCUUACCUCUUUACCAAGCUCCACGCUUGCUCUAGCUUGAGGGAGAGAGAGAGGAAGAUGAUCUUCUUCUUCUCCUUGCUUUUCUCCUUCUUCUUUCUCUACUUCUUCUUUCCUUUCUUCUCUUUCUUCUCUUCUUCUUUUCCUUCGUUCUAGAGAGAGAGAAGGAAAGAAAGAGAGCGCAAAUGAGACAACAGAGAGAGAGAGAGAGGGGUCCCCCACCUCUCAUAUAGGCCAAUUUGCAAAUAAGCCCUCAACUUUCCACUAUUAAACAGCCUCUCACUGGGCAUUUUCGCAGUGAGGGACCGGUCCUAGCUCGGGGAGACCGGUCCCCGAGAGCCUCACAUUCUGGCAGAGGGGAUUUCGCGUUCGGGAACCGGUCCCUGCCUGAAAGACCGGUCCCCGGGAGACCGGUCCUUGUCCGAGAGACCGGUUCCCGAGAGUUGGAUUUCGGGACUUAGCCAAAUUUCGGCUUCUCUCGCUGGGUUAACGUUCGGGGACCGGUCCUUACCUGCAAGAGACCGGUUGCAUCAAGGAUCCCUGCCAACCCAGCCUGAUGGGAUCGGUCCCUCCCUGCCAGGGACCGGUCCCCGAGAGCAAUUCUGCUUCAGUGCAGAUUUUGCACUGCAGCUCUCGUGGACUUUUCCUUAAUGCACUUUAUGCAUUCUAAGCAUCUUCGGACUUUUCGAAGCUUACACCCUCGACAAUUAGUCGGUUCCAGACGAAGUCUAAUCCUCGGAUUUCGAGAAUUCACUUCUUACAGGUAGGGCAGAGUUUUGGUCAGGACGGCAGUCCGAGCUUAGACCCGUGAGCGUGGAAUGCCAUAUACUAGAUCGUGUGAUCGAUGGUGUACUAAGAGUUCGGUUGUGACCCAACUCGAGGAUUUGUAGUGGUUUGGGGUCUUAAUUGCUCCUGGUUGGAGUGUGUGCGAAUUUUCAAAUGAGAAUUUCACCCAGUGAUGAUUCGGUCUAUGCUUGCGAGCGAGAGAUAUUGCGUGUAUUGCGACAGGUUUAGGCGGUAGGCCUACGUAGGAUCGAUGACCCUUGGUCUACUUGUGGAAACCGAGGUGAGCGGUUUAGCCGAUAACUCUGCUGAUGAGUUUGGCUUGGAUUUACGAACAGGGUGUUCGUGUGAGUUCAUUGUAGGAACGAAUUCGAGUUGGUUGUGGCAUAUGGUAUCAAAAGAUAAAGUGGUCUCUAGGAGACACUUGGAUAAUGAGUAGCUACACGGAGUUGAGGAUGUUGCUCUCUUGAGGAUUGAAAUUAGAGAUGUGCCAGAGUAUGCCAUCUCGCAAUAGAGCAAAGAUUCGGUUGUAAUUGAAGCACUCGCGAGUGGGCGAUGCACCAGUGAUAUUGCUUUUAAGCAAUACCGGUGAUCGAAUCGGAGUGUGUUCCCUAACGGGAUGCGAAAUGCAAAGAGAGGUUCAUUGCAUGCUGGUCAGCAAGUGGUGUGGAGCGUGUAGAGUCGUCGAGUGUCGACUUGCGCUGCCACCGAGACUUGCGGAAGCCGUAAUGCGCUUUCGGUGUUGCACUUGACAAAUGCGUGUGAGGACGGUCUCACAUCCUCCGUAGUGGGCCUUUGGACAGUUUUAAUGAGUGUAAGGCCACUUCGGAGUGGGAAAGUGCAAUAUUGUCCUCAAUUACUGUAAGGUAUCGAAUUCUAGAAAUUCGAGAGCUAAACUUCGUUUGGAAUUGACUUGUUGUCGAUUUGGUGGACUUUGGAAAGUCCGAACGCGAUAGAAAUGCAAAAAGCGCAUUAGGGUGGACCUUGGAGAGUUGAGGAUUUCAAGUUUGCAAGUUUGCACCAUUUCAUCACUCUCGGGGUCCGAACCCUGGUGGUAGGGUCCGAACCCCGUAGCUACGAGAAAGCCCCCAAGGAAGUGGAAAUUUCAUGUGUGCAACUUGCAUACUUGGGCAACUCUCGGGAUCCGGACCCUGGUGGUAGGGUCCGGACCCCGUAGCUGCAGAAACUUUGAGAAUUGCAAAGUGUGCAAUUCUCAUGUUGUCCCAACUCUCGGGGUCCGGACCCUAGCUGGAGGGUCCGGACCCCGUACCUCGAAAUUGCCGAAAAUGGGCUGAUGCAAGAUGGCAAAGUUAAGGGGCUAAAAUGCAAUUUUUGCAUAAGUAUGGCUAUAUGAGAGGCUCUUGCUCUCUCUCUCUCUUCUCAUUUCCCCUCUCCCACACCCUCACACUUUCUCUCUCUCCCUUUAGAAAGAAAAGAAGAAGGAGAAGAAGAGAAGGAGAAGGAGAAGAACAAGAAGAAAAAGAAGGAGAAAAAGAUCAACUCCUUCAUCUUCUUCCUCAAGCUUGGAGAGGCUUUUGGAGGUGAGCUCCGAACCCUUUUAAUGGCAUAUUCCUAGGGUUUUGAUAGAAUACUCUAGGAUUGGUUUUGAUCAGAUCCUACGAUGCUAGUGAUGUGCUAAUGGUAAAAAUCUAGGGUUUUAUCGGAGUAUUUUUUCAUUGUUAAAACCUAGGGCACCAGAAUGGGUAUUUGAGAAAUAGUGGGUUUUGAUCUCAAUUCAUUGGUCGUUAACCUAAUUGAUAGGUUUUCCAACGCGUAGGCGAAGACGGUUCGAGGAUCCGUCGAGCGGGUGCGAAGUUAUCGUCAAAAGAGACCCUCGGAGCUUCGUUUCCGCCUAGAAGGCCAACGAGGCGUCGUAAAAUCGGCGAAUUGUUUUCCAAGAGUCGCGACGUCGCCACAAAGUGGGUGGUGACUAUCCCGAAGCAGUUGAAUUGCUCCCUAUGUCUAAGUGUUAUUAUUGAUCGAAUUGCAUAUUGAGCAUGGUCCAUAUAGGGUGUUAGAUGUGAACACUAAUGUUUAUGCUUAUGUAACUUUGAUUGCUUGGCACUAGGGUCUAGUGUGCAUGAGGUCGAGUUGUUGCUUAAUAACCCUAUGAUGAAUAAUGAACAUGCUAUGUGGGAAAGUCUAGUGAUAUAUAGAGUGUGUAAUGCAAAUGGUGAGUAAAUGACGAGUGGCAUCUAUUUAACGUGAAACUAUGACGAGUGGCACCUAGUUAAUGUUGAACACAAGAUCGAGUGGCAAUUAAGAACCUUAGUAUAUUUGAAACACUAGGAGGUUGAGUAUUAAACCUACAUUGGAUUGAUGAAUUGCAACCCUAGAUGGCAGGGUAUCCUCACUAGUUUGAGGAUUGGAUCGUGCUCGUGUAGCCUGUCAUGCUUGUGGUGGUCACUCCACACAAGCCGUGCACUUCGGAGGUUGUCACAGGUAGGACUAACGUACUUGUCCGCAGGCGGUCUCGGGGGUUGGAGCGCUUAAAGUCCCCUCCUUCUCUGAGAUUUGAGACGAGAGUAGAGGCAAGCUUUCGGGUUUGCCGGCUAAUUGGGUGAGCUUAUAAUGAAUGUCAUUAAUGAACAUAGUGGCUUAGUAGCUAGUUCCUUACUAGAAGUUGCGUGCAUACAUGAUACUAGAUUGAGGCAUGGUAGAGUAUUUUCACUUUUGCUUAUCAUUAUUCCAUUGCCUGUAUCGCUUUUCAGUUCAUCUAUACAUAUCUAUCUGCCUAUGCCUGCUUAGACCUAGUGGGGAGAUCGGCGGAGUCGGCGGCCGAACCCACUGGGAACUAUCCGUAGUUCUCACCCCACAUUGUUGCAGGUCCGAGUUCGAGUACUCUCGGCGAGGACCGCGGUAAGCGCGUAGCGCCCUAGAGGUUGUAGCAGUUUACUUUCCUAUUUGCACUAGAGUUACCCUAUACCUAUUUUGAGAGUAGAUGAUGUAUAGGGUGUGAGGUUUUGGAUGACUGUAUAUUUACAUAUUGGAGAGUACAAUGCUGUAUUAAUUGUAAUUAAGUGGAAUGGUUGUAAUAGUUAAGUAUCUCUCUUUAUUCACCUGUAUGGUUGUAUUACUCGUGAUGCUUGCUUUCGAUUGUUUAGCACUGUUUGUGUUUUCGCUAAUUGUUGUAUGGUUGUGUACGUAUUCAAGUUGUUUUUCUGGGAACUUGUUGUACAUGAUUCUAUUGGUCAGCUGCGAACGGACAGGGAAGGUGCUGUCCGUUCGGCGCCUGUCCAUGUGCCUGCACCGGACCAAAUCGGCAGCGGUCGCGGGGCGUGACAAUUACUCGAUAAGUCGAGUUGAGGUGUGAUUGAAGUUUCGAGGACGGAACUCUUUUAAGGAGAGGAGAAUGUAAUGUACCAGAUUGUAAUACUAAAUUAAGUGUAAAUAAAAAUAGUAUGAGAUACUAUUUUUAUUAAACUUAAAGAAGUAAAUUAUGAGUCGGAAGUGACUCGUGCUGAAAUCGGAAUGAAAACAGGAGAUUUAGAAUUUUCUGUGAGAAACGGGACUGGUAUUUUUAGCAGAAAAUGCAUAACGUCAGAAAAUUAUAAAAAUCUGGAAAUAUGUCGGGAUUAUUUUUAUGAGACUAGAUUUAAAGUUUCAUGUCAUUUUAACACCCGUAAAGUGGAAAAUAAAAUUCGACUGCUAUCUGUUAGAGAUUACAGUUCGGUAGAGCUUUCGGUGACAAAAAAUGGUCAAAACUAGAAAGUUAAGAUAUUUUCUUGUUUGUUAAGUAAAACCAAGCCUGAUUGUCAAAUUUGAGAGAAAACGGACAUUCAGAAGGGCUCCGGUGAAGAGGAACAGAUUUUGAGCUGCUAAACUGCUGGGUGAAUAGUGUUUUGAGGGUGUUAAUUAUAAAAGGAGAACUUGUCUUCUUCUUCUCCUUCAACCGAGCACCACCAGCACCUCCAACAUCACACGUUCAUGGAGGAGAGAGAAACCCUCUCUUUCUCUCUCUAAAUAUCUCUCUUAUCUCUCUAGAUCUCUCUCUCAAAUUCGCGGUGUUGGCGGAGAGCGAGUUUGUGAACGCAUUGGAAGCGACGGAUCGAGUCUUCGUGCGCUCGGUUGAGCGGCGUGCUUCCGACUCGGCGUUCAAUAUUUGGUAAGUGUUUAGUGAAAGAUAUGGAUCCCGAGGAUCUAAAAGGUAAGUAACACCUAGAGGGGGGUGAAUAGGUAUAAAAACGGCAAACUCGAAAAUCUCGAUGCAAAUAAAACAAAGUAGCGGAAAAUAAAACAGCACACCGAGAAUUUAACGUGGGAAAACUCCAAUUCGGAGUGAAAAACCCACGGGACCGAUCACACGAAGAAAAUCCACUAAGAAAACUUGAGUACAAGUGAUUUUGACGAAAAUACACGACUCAAUUUACCGAUUUCUUGUUGAUGGUGAUCUUCGCCGGUCCUCGAUUGAUAGGAAUCCACCAACCGACUUCGCUGCAACUCCUCGCAGCGUCAACGCCUCAACUCCUCGAAGCGUCCACCGAAUCCUCGGCUUCACACGAGAUUCACGCGCCGAAUCUCCUUCCGGAGCUUGUAGAAUCGAAGAUUUGUGGUGAUUUAAUCUUUGAAUACCAUAAGCUAUGAGGGUUCGUCUUCUAAUCAAAUAUCAACUUGAUUCUCAGAGAAGAUCUCGAGUAAAAUCAAAGAAUCACGUCGAUUGUUGAUUUUUCGAAACUUGUUAUGUGAAUAGAAUCAUCGAAACGGAAAAACAAGUUUCGAGGGUUUAGAAUCAGUAAAAAUUCAAAGCCUUAAACUUUAAGACGACCCCCAUAGCUUAUUUAUAUGUUUAGAAGACUUAGAAGUAGACUAGGAUUGCAAAAAGUCCUUUUUAAAAACCUGUGUCGUCCUCAGGGACCGGUCCUCUCGAGGAGACCGGUCUGUGAGAGACCGGUCUCUCAAGUGAGGAACCGGUCCCUCGCUGCGUGACCAAAAUCACAACGUUCGGGAACCGGUCUUUCAAGCUUGAGACCGGUCCCUCGCUGCGCGACAGAUUUACCAAGGUUCGGAAACCGGUCUCUCAUCUCAGGGGACCGGUUGCCUCAACAUUCCACGCAGUGAGGACCUUCGGGGACCGGUCUCUCAACUCUGGGACCGGUCCCAGAACACUGAAAAGUUCAGUUUAAGUGUUUUAAAGCAAUCUAAGUCUUCUGAACUUAUUGUAAUUAGAUAAAUUCAUCACAAAUGAUCUAUUCUUCAUACCUGAGGUGCCGAGCUUUCCAAAAUGAGUCUUUGUUCUUUAAAUUGAAUCUUUUCUUCAAACUUCCGCAAUCAACUCUUCAAGACUCCAUUCAACAUUACGAAAUCCGCCAACCUAUAAAAUCCUUAACAAUCUCCCCCUUUGGCGAUUUCGUGACAAAAUAUAUUACAAAGUUCGUACACAACUCAGAAAUAAUAAAAAGAAGAUCAUCGCAAUCACCAAACGAUAAUCUCCUGCAUGAUCGAUCCAAUAAAUAAAAAUUACACUUUUACAACCUUAAUACAGACUCUAUGACUUAAACAUGGAGUCUUGAAGUCUUGAAUAUUCCUGCAAAAACAUUCUUAAAACACAAUCAAGAUUCAAGCAUACUUAUCAUAAAAGAAAAUCAAACAUAAAGUCAAAGCAAUCAAUCAAAGUAACAAGUCAUAGUCAUAGUUCAUAGUCAAGCACCUAAACAACUAUCUAAAUUUACACAACUAAGCUAAAAAAAAAAAAAAGAAUCAAAAGACAUCAUCAUCAUCAUAAGCCAUCAAGUCAAGUCAAAAACCAUCAAGAACCUCAUCAUCUCCCCGUUUUUGUCAGAAAGCGCCAAAAAGACAAAAGAAGAAACCCCGCAACAUCUAAUCUGAAGCAUCCCCUGGGGGUAAAUCUGCUCUGCAACACCCUAACUUGUCAAAAAUCAUAUUGAGUAAUCGCUUCAUCUUGCUCACAUCCUUUCGUAUCGCAGCCUGCUCUGCAGACAAUUUCUGAAGCUCCUCAGAUAAACGUUGUUGCUCACGAUACACAGAGGAAACUGAGAUAUCUUCCUCGGAAAUGUCCAUAGAAGGACGUGAAGAAGUAGCAGUAGCAGGAGGUGGAGCAGCAGGAGGGGAAGAAGCACGCUGAGACGGGGUACGAAGCUGCACCGAGGACUUCACAAAUGUCCUUUCAUUGAUCCGACCCAAACUAUGCUCAUAUGAUGUACAACGAACAUCCACAUCAUGAAGUCGCAGAAUCCGCAUGAUAAUUAAUGGAAAUGGCAACCAUUCAUUUUGUCCAGAAGUUUUGAUGUCCUUCGCCAUUCUCCGCAAGAUCAAAAAUGGGAUAUUCAUGUUGAUAUUUUUUACACUUACAAUAUCAGGCCGAGCCAAUAAAUACAUGUAUAAGAUGCGAUCCCAUCUCAAAAUCUUCGUGUUCGCGAGAGGCAGAAUGUUGUAGCAAACCACGAAGUUCAGAAACCGGUACUCCAUUCUGAAAUCUUUGGACAUAACCAUAAUGCCGUUUGAUUCAGUCCCCGGCAUGCAAAUAGUGUUCACAACACGGUUCCAAUCGCGAAGUGAGUCGAAUCCAGCCUGUAGAUAUUCCACUCCUUCAGUCCUAGCUUCCAUUCCUAGCACAGACGCUAUCGUAUGAGGAGUAAUUGAUAACUCAACACCACGUACGGAAGUGAUGAAUACGUACGGGCCGCCGUCGGAGUCACUCAAGUGACCUGCUCUCAUAUAGAAUUCUCUAAUCAAUUCCAAACAGAACCCAGUUUGUUACGAAAAAUCACAAAUCUGAUGAAGAUUUUCUUUUUCAAAUAAAUCCUGGAAUCCCGGUACACAGCUAACGAUACUGGCAACUCCAACAUCGCGCUCACCAAUACAAUGCUUCGACGAGUACAUUGACCGUCAAGCAGAUGGAACAUCCUGUAGACUGUGACGCGGAGGCUCAGAACCAGGUUCUCGAAUUUCAACACCGCCAGAUUUCCGACGACCGGUAUAUCCAGAUGCCUUUCCUUUUCCUUUAUCCACAGCUUUGCCUUUCCUUUUAUCAAUGGCUUGUCCUUUCCCCUUUCCUUUUCUAGUAUCCUUUUCCUUAGCCAACACCUCUGGAGUAAAAGCCUCCCAGUCCAGUUCGUCCUCAUCAGAUUUAUCACCUGGGGCAUAUUCACUCCCUUCAUCCUCCGGUUGAUACUCAACAGGUCGUUUACCCGAAGAGCGCUGUCGUUUACUACCGCGACCACCCCCAGCCAUUAGGACCACAAGCACAAGUAGCCAAGAGUACAUAUUGAAGAAAUCCCCUGUUAAACAUAAUGAUUUUUAUAUACUGAACAAAAGAACACUUAAUUUUUUUAUUCCAAAAAAAUUUCGGCAAAUUUGAUAUAUAAAUGCUAGAUAAUCCUAGGGGCCACAAACUCAUGAGAAACAUGAACAACUAAAGCAACAAAAAUCAGUAAAACCACAUGAUUCCCAAAAAAUUAAAAAAAAAACAGGCUUUUGAUGAUAAAAACCUACCAAAUUUGACCAAAAAGAUGAAGAAAUACAAGAGAAAAGGAAAAUAACAAGUCUAAGAACAAGAUCGAAACACAAAACUGCAGAUUUAGCUAGAUCUCUAGAAAAACCACCAAUAAAUCUGAAACGAAACACAUUUUCGGAGUAUAUGAUACAAAUGCAACAAAAUCCGAAAAUCAUACCUAAAAUCAGUGCAAAUCUACGAGAGACGUGAGUAAAAACAGAUCUGGAGUCAAGAGAAGUUCAAAAGAAGAAGCAGGGAGAAAAAAAAAGGCAUACAGGACACAUCGAACAAGAAACCCUUUUAUCGGGUCGGGCAGAGGGACCGGUCUCUCCUGCCUGGGACCGGUCCCAGAGCCUGAAAUUUCGAAAAAUUCUAAAAUAAGCCCAAAAAAUUUCAGAAAAAAUAUAAGUUUUUCCACAAUGUGCAAUCAACACAAAUAACCAAUUUCCAUCCACAAAAACUUUAAAUAAAAUUUCAUACAUAAAUUUUGAAAAGUCAAUUUCAAGGAUAUUCAAUUUGGCAAAAUUGUUGACCCGAAAAUCAAUGAUAAUUCUAAAUACAUAUAAAAUAAAAUCUCACACAUCAUGCAAGAUCUAGGAAUUUAUUGUAUUAUUUUAUCAUCAUAUUUGUUAAAGAAAAUGUAUAAAUAAUUCUCAAAUCGUGAAAUCACAAUAAUAUGUUCAAAAAGAGUUAUGCACAAUAUUCAAGACAGGAGCGGCUCUUUGAGCAUCUUUUUUUUAUUAACAUUCCACCUUAUAUCACCUAUGAGAUGUAUAGCUCUUUGAGCAUUUUUUUUUUAAUCUCUGAAAGGUACUUUCCUUUUGUUUUAUAGAGAUACUUUAAUCAACAUGUGGUAGCUGCACACACUGACCGGACGACCGGGGUGGUAGCUCUUUCCUCCAUGUGGUGGUAGUUUUCACACUCCCAGUAGGGAUGUAACUCUUUCCACAUCUUGAAUAUCAGAAACUUUCAUAACCAAAAUUGGAAAGACUCCCCCUAAAUUAGUGCAACCCUCAAGUCAAAAAUAUUAUUUCAAUUUCAAAAACAGAGAAAGUUAUUCAUCUCAAAACUCAUAAUCAAGCAAACAAUAGCAACAUUCAAAGUUCGAAGCAUGAGGUGUUGAAUUUGAUUCAGUAUGCAAAACAGAAUCUCAAUGAUUUGAUCGUUCAACAAUUGUGACAAUAUAGAACAAUCUUCACAGUGAUCAAUCAAAAAUUAAAUAUGAAAUAAUUAAAGUUACGAACCGAUUCAUCUCCCAAAAGUAGCAACAUUAAUCAAGAAAUUCAAUCAUCUCUCAAGCACAAUCAGGAAAUACCAGAAACCAUUCACAAAAAUAAGAUGCAACAUGCACAUGAUCUAUGGCCCAAUAGAAUAUAUCUAGAUUGAAGGAUUCAUACCAAUCGCUUUUCUUAAAUGCAGAAAACGUUUUUGACCCAAAGGUUUGGUUAAAAUAUCUGCAAGUUGACUUUCAGUCGAAAUAUAUUCAAGUUGUAGGAUGUUUGAUUCAACCAGUUCUCUUAAAAAGUGAUAUCUUAGUUCAAUAUGUUUUGUUCGUGAAUGUAAAACAGGGUUUUUAGAAAUAUUAAUUGCACUUGUGUUGUCACAAAGAAUAGUAAGAGUGGUGGAAGGGAUUCGAUAGUCGCUCAGUAAACUCUUCAUCCAGAUCAAUUGUGUAGAGCAACUCCCGGCCGCAAUGUAUUCAGCUUCUGCAGUUGAAAGAGCAAUACAGUUUUGCUUCUUACUGUGCCAAGCAACCAGACAGUGUCCAAUGUAAAAACAAGCUCCACUAGUACUUUUUCGAUCAUCUGCAGAUCCUGCCCAGACAGCAUCUGAGUAGUCGAUUAGAUCAAGAGAUGUUCCCAUAGGAUACCAAAGUCCAUACACGGUUGUACCCUUAACGUACCGAAUGAUCCUUUUAACCGCUUUCAGAUGGACUUCCUUAGGAUUAGCUUGAUAGCGAGCAUACAUUCCAACACUAAAAGCAAUAUCUGGCCUGCUCGCAGUCAAGUACAAUAGGCUCCCAAUCAUGCUUCUGUAUUGUUUCUCAUCCACGCUCUGUCCUUCCAAACUCAACCCAAGUCCUUUGUUGCUUGUACCCAUUGGAGUGUCAAAAUCCUUUGCACUAUCCAAUCCAAAUUUCUUAACCAAAUCUUUCGCAUAUUUGGAUUGACACAAGUGAAUUCCAUCUUUAGUUUGUUUGACUUGAAGUCCAAGGAAAUAAUUAAGCUCCCCCAUCAUUGACAUCUCAAAUUCGCUUGUCAUCAAUUUGGCAAAAUCAUUUGCAUAUUUAUCUUUAGUUGCCCCAAAGACUAUGUCAUCAACAUAUAUUUGUGCCACAAUGAAAUCAUUCUUGAAGUGUUUUACAAAGAGAGUUCUAUCCGCUCCCCCUCGGUUAUAGCCCUUUUCCAAAAGAUAUUUUGUCAAGCGUUUGUACCAUGCUCGCGGAGUCUGUUUUAGUCCAUAAAGUGCAUUUUUCAGUCGAAAAACGUGAUUUGGAAAUUUUGAGUCUAUAAAACCUUUCGGUUGUUCAACAUAAACUUCCUCUUUUAAAAAUCCAUUUAGAAAAGCACUUUUAACAUUCAUUUGAAAAAGAGUGAUUUUAAAAUGGCAGGCAAUUGCCAACAAAAUACGACUAGAUUCAAGACGGGCAACCGGAGGGAAGGUUUCAUCAAAGUCUAUUCCCUCAAUUUGUGAGUACCCCUGAGCAACAAGUCUCGCUUUGUUCCGAAUAAUAGUACCAUCCUCAUUUUUCUUAUUCUUAAAGAUCCAUUUGGUAUCUAUGAUGUGUUGUUGCUCAGGACGAGGCACUAAUUCUCAUACAUCAUUGCGAACGAAUUGACCAAGUUCUUCUUGCAUUGCAUUUAUCCAAUAUUCAUCACGUAAAGCUUCGUCAAUAUUCUUUGGCUCAAUCAAGGAUACAUAGCAUGCAAAUUCACAUUGUAGUUGAUUUCUUGUUCGCACACCAACAUUAGGGUCCCCAAUUACAUUCGAUAAAGGAUGAUCUCUUGACUCUGUCAGGGGUGUAGUCUUAGGAGAUAUGCUUGGGAUUUCAGAUGAGGUGUUUUGAGGCUCAGAUGAAUCAUUUGAAGCAACAUUUUCAGAAGAUGCAAUGAAAUUGUCAAGUGCAGAAACAUCAUCAUUCACAGGCAAUACAAACGGAGAAUCAUUAUCAUCAUCAUUCACCAAAGAAGUAGAAGAACCAUUCACAGAAGAACUUACAGAAGAAGCUUAAUCUACUUUUAUAUUGAUAGAUUCUAUCACCGUCUUAGAUCGUAAAUUGUAUGCGCGAUAAGCACGACUUGUAGUAGAAUAACCCAGAAAAAUUCCUUCGUCACUUCGAGAGUCAAAUUUUCCAAGAUUUUCACGAUCCCGAAGGAUAAAACAUUUACUCCCGAAAACACGAAAGUAUUUAAUAUUAGGUUUCCUACCAAGCCAAAGUUCAUACGGAGUAUUCAAAGUACCCGGGCGCACAUAAAUCCGAUUGAUAACAUAGACAGCCGUGUUCACUGCUUCGGCCCAAAAGUGUAAAGCAAUUUUCUUACUAUGAUGCAUAACACGAGCCAUCUCCUGUACAACCCGAUUCUUCCGUUCAACCACUCCGUUUUGUUGGGGUGUAUAGGGGGCUGAGAAUUCAUGUUUUAUACCAUUUGAAACACAGAAAUCAACAAAUUUUGAAUUUAUGAAUUCUCCCCCUUGAAUCACUUCGAAUACGUAUAAUUUUAUCAUUCCGUUCAGUCAUAAGACGAAGACAGAUUUCAGAAAAAGAAUCAAAAGUAUUAGCUUUUUCUCGUAAGAAGGCAAUUCAAGCAAAGCGAGUAAAAUCAUUAACAAUGAGCAAAAUAUAACGUUUUCCACCCAAACUUUGAAUCCUAGAUGGUCCCAUCAAAUCCAUGUGAAGUAAUUCUAAAGGUUUAGAUGUCCCUAAGUGGUUCAAAUUCUUAUGUGCGGACCUAGUUUGUUUCCCCAAUUGACAACCUCCACACACAAUGCUCUCUUUGAAGUCAAUCUUAGAUACACCUCUGACAACCUCCUUCUUAGUUAUCUUGGAUAGCUCCUUAAAGUUUAUGUGACCUAGUCGUUCAUGCCAUAAAGUCUCAGUUUCUAAAGACGCCAGAUUACAAUGUUCAGUCGAAGAACUAGGAACCACAUAACAGUUAUUUUGAGAUCUAAUGCCCUUUAAGAAAAGAUUGUCAUCACGAGUCAUAUGGCAUUCUUUAUCGGAAAAAUUCACAGAAUACCCAUCAUCACACAGUUGGCUUAUGCUUACAAGAUUAGAUUUCAGCCCCUCAACAUAGAAAACAUCAUUCAAAGUAGGGCCAUAUGAGAUAGUCACUAUUCCUUUUCCAACAAUUUUUGAUGACCGACCGUCUCCAAAAACAACAAGUCCUCCAGAGAUUUUGUUCAAUGAAGUAAACCAAUUUUUAUCUCCGGUCAUGUGGCGGGAACAACCACUAUCCAGAUACCAUGAAGUAUUAUCGUAAGUAUGAAGCGAAGUGUGAAUGACUAGGCAUGGGAAGAGUUCACCUUUGCGCACCCAAACCUUACGUGUUUUGGGUUGCGUCGAUUCACUUGCUUUUGGUGCUCGUGGCUUGUCGACGAUUUGAAUUGGCUUCCUCUUCAUAUCCUCCUUUUUUGGUUUCCAUGCUUAUUUUGCCUUUGGCUUCGGUGUAUUUGGUGUCCAAGUUUGUCUCUUCUUAUGAUCUGCCUUCUUUGGAGUCACAGUUGACUUCGUUGUCGUUUUAGGAUCACUCUUCAUGGGUGCUAUUGAGCUCUUUCCCUUUUGGUAGCAAAAUUUCUUUAUGUGUCCUAAAUCACCACAAAUAUGACAAGUUUUGUUAGCCAAAUUAUUUUUAGGAGAGACGAACUUACCAUAAAGUUUAGGAACAGCAGUUGGCGAAUUUCCAUCAUCUUUCUUCGUUGCUUGAUCAAUAUAUGUCCGUUCAUAACCAAGUCCAAGUUUAUUUGUUUGACCAAGUCCAAGCAUCUUGUCUAAUUUGCUCGAGCCAGACGAAAAUUGGUUCAAAUCCGACUUCAGUUGAAUGAUCGUCUUGGUGAAUUCCAUAUUUGCUUCUCUAGCUUCUGAGUAUUGCUUGGUGAGAAAAUUGAUGUUCUCCACCUGAGUCUCUUUUUCCUUUUCAAGUAACGAACACUUCUCAAGUAAAGAGUUGUAAGCCUUGGUCAAACCAUCUCUUUCUUGCUCUAGAUCCUUUGUUAGUGAGGCCAAUUUUGAAUUUUCUUGUUCCAACUCAUGUAGACUUCGCCGCAGUCUCUUGUUAUGUUUAGCCACCUUCUUUGAUUCAACAACCAAUUGUUGAUAUGCUGCGAUCAUGUCAUCUUCGUCCGAUUCUUCAUCUGAUGAGUUCUCCGAAGAUGACUUCUCAUGUAUAGAUGACAUAGAGAUAGAGUCAGCAAAUGCUAAACACAUGAAAGUUGAAUCCUGUGUAAUCAGUGUCGUGGCAUUUACAUCCUCUUCACUCGAAGUGGAAUCGUCAGAUGAGGAGUUGUCACGCCCGGGUAUCAACGGAAGCAUAUCCGGUCGCGUGCACAGACCCGCCGUAUACACCACAACUCAAGUAUACACAAGGCGUCUACAAACCAUAUAGUAAAAGCAUAUAAAUCUAACCAGGUAAUCAGAGCACGACUUAAGUUUAAACUUAUACAAUCCAAACUUUAAUACAAGACAUAAGAAUAACGUACAAUUAAUAAAAACUUAAUAUACAUCUAUGUACUAAACUAUAUAAACUGCUGGAGGUGAUCUAGUACACGUCCAAAAAGCCGCCGACCCCUCACCAGGAACCCUAGCCUUUCCCGCUGUGGAAGGCUCUGUAAAAACAACAACAAAGAGGGNUAAAAGAUUCAUGUUCUUCCAUACGAAUGGAAUCAAAUCUACUAGUAAGCAUUUGCAAUUUUUGAAUCUUAACCAAGCUUGUACCCUCGUGUGUAACUCGUAAAGUGUCCCAAAUCUCUUUGACGGUUUCGCACGCCGAGACGCGAGAAAAUUCAGUUUGAUUUAAAGCAUUGAAUAAAGCAUCGAUACCUUUCCCGUUGAACGAAGAUAGUUCAUUUUCCUCUUUCGUCCAUUUAUUUCUAGGUUUCGUACCGGUAACAUUCUCGACAACUUCGGUAGGAUGUUUCCACCCGAAUUCAAUGGCUUGCCAUACCCGCUCGUCGAUAGCAAUAAGAAACGCCCUCAUACGGACUUUCCAAUAAGCGUAAUUAGUGCCAUCGAAGAGUGGGGGUCGAUUGAUGUUACCACCCUCGGCCAUGUAUUACAACCUAUACCCGCUCUGAUACCACUUGAAAGAUAUGGAUUCCGAGGAUCUAAAAGGUAAGUAACACCUAAAGUGGGGUGAAUAGGUGUAAAAACGGCAAACUCGAAAAUCUCGAUGCAAAUAAAACAAAGUAGCGAAAAAUAAACAGCACACCGAGAAUUUAACGUGGGAAAACUCCAAUUCGGAGUGAAAAACCCACAGGACCGAUCACACGAAGAAAAUUCACUAAGAAAACUUGAGUACAAGUGAUUUUGACGAAAAUACACGACUCAAUUUACCGAUUUCUUGUUGAUGGUGAUCUUCGCCGGUCCUCGAUUGAUAGGAAUCCACCAACCGACUUCGCUGCAACUCCUCGCAGCGUCAACGCCUCAACUCCUCGAAGCGUCCACCGAAUCCUCGGCUUCACGCGAGAUCCACGCGCCGAACCUCCUUCCGGAGCUUGUAGAAUCGAAGAUUUGUGGUGAUUUAAUCUUUGAAUACCAUAAGCUAUGAGGGUUCGUCUUCUAAUCAAAUAUCAACUUGAUUCUCAGAGAAGAUCUCGAGUAAAAUCAAAGAAUCACGUUGAUUGUUGAUUUUUCGAAACUUGUUAUGUGAAUAGAAUCAUCGAAACGGAAAAACAAGUUUCUAGGGUUUAGAAUCAGUAAAAAUUCAAAGCCUUAAACUUUAAGACGACCCCCAUAGCUUAUUUAUAUGUUUAGAAGACUUAGAAGUAGACUAGGAUUGCAAAAAGUCCUUUUUAAAAACCUGUGUCGUCCUCAGGGACCGAUCCUCUCGAGGAGACCAGUCUGUGAGAGACCGGUCUCUCAAGUGAGGAACCGGUCCCUCGCUGCGUGACGAAAAUCACAACGUUUGGGAACCGGUCUCUCAAGCUUGAGACCGGUCCUUCGCUGCGCGACAGAUUUACCAAGGUUCGGGAACCGGUCUCUCAUCUCAGGGGACCGGUUGCAUCAAAGCUCACGCAGUGAGGACCUUAGGGGAAUCGGUCUCUUAAACUCAGGGACCGGUCCCUGAACACAGAAAAGUUCAGUAAAAUAUUUUUAAAGCAAUCUAAGCCUUCUGAACUUAUUCUAAUUAAGUAUCUUCACCACAAAUGAUCUUUUCCUUAUACCUUAGGUGCCGAACUUUACGAGUGAGUCUUUGUUCUUCAAUUUAGAUCUUUUCUUCAAUCUUCCGCAAUCAACUCUUCAAGACUCCAUUUAACAUUACGAAAUCCGCCAACCUAUAAAAUUCUUAACAUUUAGGAUUUGGCUAAUUCCUUUAUACUUAGUGUUCUAAUAGCCUCUAAUGUGAUGUUAGCAUGUUUUCUCCAUUUAAUUUGGAUUAUUUGGAGUGUAUGUACAUGCUAGGGUUUGGAAUUGGGGUUUUAGCAAAUGAGGGUUUUGAUCUAAUUAAACCCUACUGUUCUCUAAUUGAAGGUUAGAGGCGAGCCAUUGAUUACCCUAGGUUGCGGAUUAGCGGGCGUUCGGUUGCCGAUUGCGAGGUCGGGCUAAACCGGGUAUCGUGUGCCGCGGGAGCCCGAUUGCAAAUGUCGACAAGCAAUCGGAGAGCGUUGCGAGGUGGGUUGCGCUCACCGAAAUAUUUAGCUCGCUUCUAUGUCAAAGCGAAGUGAUGUUUAUUAUUGAUGCAUAUAAUGGUAGUUAAGUGCUAGAUGAAUCUAUGUGAUACAUGCUAGAUUAAUGUAUAAGAUAAAUGUUAAGUAAUGACUACCAUUGGAUGAUGAAAAUAUGUGCAUGUUGACAUAUGUUGGGACUAUGCUAGAUGCUAUAUAUGUAUGCAUGUUGAUAUAUCAUGAGAUGCUAGACGAUAUAUAUAUGUAUGUUAAUAUAUUUUGAGAUGCUAGAUGAUAAAUAUGCAUGUUGACAUAUAUGGAUUAUGUUAGAAGAACUAUGCAUGUUGACAUAUAUGGAUUAUGUUAGAAGAACUAUGCAUAUUGAACUUGGGUCGAUAACUCUAGGUUGAUUAGAGAGUUCGACAUUGGAAAAUAAGAACAUGAAAACUAUGAUACUCGAUGUGGACUAGUAGAUUGUCAAGUAGAUCGAGUGGCAUUUGGACCAGUGUAGUAGAAACACUAUGACAUGUUUUGGAACUCGUGUAGUAGAGACGCUUGUGACAUGAGUAUAGGGAUUAGUGGAUUUCCCGUGUUAUUGUUGUCCCUAGUAGGCAGGGUAUCCUCGAGUGUGAGGAUUGGAUCAUACUCACUUAGUCUGUUUUUAUUUGGCGUGGUCGCUUCACCUAAGCAGUGAUCUUUGGGGUACUUCAUGAUAGGGGCAGACGUAGUUGUCCCGCAGACGGUCUCGGUGUGCGAGUGCAGUUUCUUCUCACUUAUGAGAUUUUCAGAGUGAGUCGGGGCUUAACCUUUUGGUUAGCCGGUGAGAUUGGGUGACAUUCUUGUGAGCUAUGGAUGAAUCCCAGCAGAGUGGAUUGGCAUCCUAGUUGGCAUCCCAGUUGAGUGGAUUUUAUGCUGAGGUGCAUGUGAGACGUCCUUCAUCUCGAGCCUGGCUUUACGCGGUACGCCGUGGAUGAUUGACUCAAAGUCGAGUCGAGUGGAUAGCUUUGGAAAGGUAGAUGAAACCUUAUGAGAAGAAUUGUAAUUGACAUGAAUCUAAGAUAGAGGAAAACUUAGAUGUCAUGUAGAUAAGCUAUGGAUAGCGAGUAGAAUUAGUAGAUCUACUUACCUCAUUGCAUAUUGAGUUGCAUGAUUUGCAUUGUUGCAUGUUGCGAGGCAUGAACAUGAUAAAUAUUAGUUGCAUAAAAUAUUUGAUGAUAUAUAUAUAUAUCUCUCUCUCUGUGGAUACUUGUUGGACUAACAUAUUGCAGUGCCUCCUUCGGACCUGGUGGGUUGAGCUUUUCUCUUGGGUGGCCAUACCCACUGGAAACUAUGGACAAUAGUUCUCACCCUCGUGUUGUUUUUGGGGGCACAGGUUCAGACGUGAGCGGCGCGGCGGCGCGAGGACAGGGCGUAGCUUCGUAGAUAGCGCCCUACCACAGAGACCAGAGAUAGCAUUACCCCGAGUCGGCCUAGCUAGGUGUUGUAGAAAAGAAGAAUGCAAUAUUGUAAUACUAUUGAUUGUAUUUGAAAGAAAAGAAAACGAAAAUGUAAUAUGUAAAAAGCAUGUGAUGUGAAUGCUUGUAAUAGCUUAGUUGUUUAUGUUGUUUGAUACCUUCCUUAUGCAAUCGUUGUAUGAAUACUGUUCUUGUUUGGAACCUUUUGUAUUGUACUGUUUGCGAUGCCUAGGACGUACAGGGGAAACUCUGUCCGUUUGGCGGUCUGUUGACGACCCGAAUCCGACCAAAUAGGCGGGUCACGGGGCAUGACAGACUCAAUUAGAGUUAUUGACGUUUGGAGGAUAUAUAUGUAAUUCUCCCAUCUCUCUAUAUGGGAACUUAGGGUUUUCUCUUUAUUAACCAUAACCCUAACUCCUCUCUCACCUUCCCCAAGCCCUAGCCGCCUCCUCUUUCUCCUUUGACUGUGCCGUGCAUAUCCCCAACUGUUAGCGAUCCCAGUCCAACUGGCCAAACUGCUGCCAACCAUCUCCCCCCUCUCUCUCUCUCAAGCUUUUCCCUCACCCACUUCGUUAUUUCCUUUGGAAACAAGGCAUCCUCGGGGGCCGCAUUCUGUGGACAUCAUCUUCGACAUCCCAGGGCUUCGACUGUCAUGCCCCGUGACUGCCAAUUUGGCCUGUUCGGGCACGUCCACAGACACCGAACGGACAGGAUCUCCCUUGUCCCCCCAAGGCUCAAUAACAACCACAUGUAUAGCCAUUUCAUACAUAGAAAAUUUUGGUAUACACAGCUUGCUCGAGGGCAAGCAACAACAACUAAAGUGAAAGUAAGCUAACUACCAUUACAACAUCUAUUGUACUUUGCAAGAUUGAAACAAAAUACAAAGUUUGAUACUUCAUUACAUCCAGAUUCCAAAUUAAAUCAUAUGUUCUUCAAAUACAUACAUCAUUCUUUCUAUAUAGUUCAUUCAUCAAGUACAAAAGAUGAAUCUCAAAAGUGUACAAUACUAAACUUGACGGAGGCCCGCUAUCUAGGGCGCAAUACCCUUGCCCCGAUCCUCGAUCGCCCCGCUCGCGCUAGGAUAUGCAAGGUUAGUGGUGUGAGAACUAAUGAAAGUUUUCAGUGGAUUUGGCUCCCGACCUCGCCGACUCACCUACUAGGUCUGCUCAGGCAUAUGUAAGAAAGAAAAGAGAUAUAGUAACCAGAACUAAUGCUACUACAAUAGCCGUACAAAACUGGAAAGAGAUUCUAUACUCAUGAUGCAUGUAUGCUCUUUUACCUUUACCUAAUCCACUUGUUUAAUCCUUUAGUUAAACCUCAACUCACCAAAUCAAAUCCCUUUUGUCGAGGAGAAUACCGCUACAACCUGACGGGACCGUCUGCUGGGGAGAAUUCCACUACCAACCCAGUUGAUGACACUUCAGAGCUCACCGCCCAAGGUGGAGCGACCUACCUCGAGCAUUCAGACUACCUGUCAGUACGAUCCAAUCCUCACUUGAAGGAUAUCAUGCCACAAUCUUAACAAGCUCUUUAUUCUAUGUUUAGCAUUUCCAAUUCUAGAUACUAACCAAUUCAUCUCAUUAUAAUGCCACAAGUUCAUUUUCCUUGUCUAGCAUUUCCCAAUACUAGGUGCUACUAAUGCCGUCUAGUCACAAUGUCACUUGUUCACUAGUGUCAUAGUUCAAUGCUUCAUACAUCUAUAGGGUUUCUAUGUUCAUCAUUUAUAGUUCACAUGUUCUUUGCUUCCAAAGCAUACAAGAUUGCACCAUUACCACAUAUAUCACAUUUAUCCUAUAAUGCAUGAAUCUACUAUGCUCAUACAAUAUGCUUAAGAAGUAACUAGACAUAACGGGUCAUUCGAAGACUUCGGAUAGCACCACCCACCUUAUAAUGAUGCCGGAGUGCGAGAAAACCACUUCUCGCGAUUUAUUGUCAAACAUUCCUCUCGCCCCACGACAAACGAAGCCGAAACGAGGCUUUUCCUCAAUAACUUGGUGUAGACUCGUCGGAAUCUCGAUCCGAGCCUCCCAACGCAUCGGUUUAUACUCCAAUUAGGGCUAUAAGAGAUCAAACCUAACUUAGAUCUCAUAGAUUACAAAAUCUCAUUUUUUCCCUUAGGGUUCAUACAAGACACCCAAUAUAAUCUAAGUUUGUAUGAUUUCAUAGCAUAAUCAAGCUCUAGAAAUCCUAAAGACUACAAAACCUAACCAUUUAGGGUAUAAAACCAAACCCUAAUCAAAAAGUUGCAAGAAACCUAUCUCAGGUUCUUGCUCCAAGAAGUCCUUCUUUUCCAAGAGCCUCUACUUCACCAAAAUUUCCAAACUCUAACUUCAAUUCUCUUUCAAUUCCACCAUGGAGUAGAGUUCUCUAGAAAGAGAAGGAGAAGGAGAUGAGGUUUGGAGGAGAAAACGAAGCACUUUCUGCAUCAGAAGUAUAGGUGUAGAGGUGGGGUAUUUAUAUAGGCCUGCACAAUUGCAAUUAAGCCCCCCAAAUAAACCCCCAUCAACCAUUACAAACAGGUCCUUCCCAGUCUGGGUACUGGUACUCGUGUUGUAGUACCGAUACCAAAGACUUCUAAUACCAGUACCCGACAGCAAUACCGGUACCAACCCUCCAACCCGAAGCUACGAAAUUCCUGCACCCUUCGCAGUAUCGGUACACAAGAACAGUACCGGUACACAGGACCUGUAUCGGUACACAGCCUCGUACGGUUCGGAUCCCGAGAGCUGUAUCAACACACACUGGCUGGGUACAGGUACUACAUCACUUUGUUACCGGUACCAAGUGCAAAUUCUGCACUUUAACAGCAGAAUUGCUAUGGGAAUUCAUUUUCGCGCCCGGUUUGCACCGAAAACCCCUAAACAACUUCGGAACUCAUUUCUAACCAUCCCUACGCCUCAGAAAUGACUCGGGGAUGCCGCAAUUCAUACUCUUGCUUCACUUUGAUCAAUGCGAUUAAAGUUAGCAUCGUAACAUGGCGAUUCAGUAUAGUACAAUCUCCCCCCUUAACAAAAGUUUCGUCUACGAAACUUAAACGCAUACCUUAGCUCAUCUACUCAAAUUGAUGAGGAUAGGACUCCUGCAUCGACUCUUCGCAUUCCUAAGUGGCCUCGCGUACAGGAUGGUUGUUCCAUUGCACUUUUAGAUAAGGAAUGGUACGAUUCUGCAACCCCCUGACCUUGCGAGCCAAGAUGCACACUGGGUACUCAAUAUACGUCAUAUCGUCCUACAACUCCACCGGAUCAAACUCCACAAUGUGCGAAGAGUUAUGCAUGUACUUGCGGAGAUUAGAGAUGUGGAAUACAUUAUGCACUCCCUCAAACCUUGGCGGCAAAGCUAUCUUGUAAGCCACCGAAUUCACUCUCUCCAAAAUCUCGAAAGGACCAACAUAUUGAGGACUUCGUUUUCCUCGAACCCCAAAUCGCUUAACACCUCGCAUCGGAGAUACCUUCAGGAAAACGCGAUCUCCAACCGCGAAUUCUAGAUUCUUCCGGUGUUUAUUAGCAUAACUCCGUUGCCUCGAUUGCGUCGUCAGUAAUCUCUGGCGAGCAAGGCGAACUUUCUCUUCCGUCUUUUGCAACAUGUCAGGACCAAGGGCGAUCCUCUUACCUACAUCACUCCAAUGAAUAGAAGAUCGGCACUUUCUCUCGUAAAGAGCCUCAAAUGGUACCAUCGCAAUACUUUCUUGAUAACUAUUUGUAAGUUUAGAGGAGCCCUAGGAUCUAUCUAGAUUGUAUCAAACACCUAGAGGGGGUGAAUAGGUGUAACGGCCAAAAAUCACAAAUCUCAAUGCGAUAAAAAUAAACGCGGAAAAUAAAAAUCACACUGAGAUUUAUGUGAGAAAACUUCAACUUGGAGAAAAAACCCACGGGACCAACACGCGAAAAAAAAAAUUCACUGAGAGAAAAGAUUAUAAGGUGAUUACCGACUCCACGGACUCGACCUCUCUUAACUUCCUAUGAAUCUCGCGCAAUCCUCCGGGUUGUCCAUGCUCUCACGUUCGAAUCCACAAACGCCUAGCACACGUCCGAAUCCACGAACGCCACUUGAAUCCACGAUCCCACGAUCCGAAUCCUCGAACCGCCUUGAUCACGUCGAAUCCACGACGCCGUCCAUGAAAAACAUCAUGCUAUGGUGAUCCUUUGCUUAGAGUAUCGAUGAAAACCAGAGAAGAAAACUCCAAGCGAAGAGUAGAUCAAAUCGACAUAUAGAUAUCAAAUUAUAAUAUCUCGAUUUGACCUAGAAGAGGCUUCUUUGUAAAAAAUAGGUUUUGGACGAAAAACUAGCCUCUAGGGUUUCUCAAACAUGAAUUCUCGUGAUGCUUCAUGAGUUAGAGAACCCUAAUACCUUAUUUAUAGACUUUAGAAUCAAUUGGAGUCGGAUUAGAAAGUUUUCGGAUUUUUCACAUUGUGUACCGGUACAAAAUUGAGGUGUUACCGGUUACACGAUGACGGAAUAGAAAACCGUAAAGACUUGAAACCGGUUACAAGUUGAUUGUUGUACCGGAGCAAGUUUGUACCGGUACACUUUCAAUGUUGUACCGGUACACAAUGCAUUUUUCAGAUUUUGCACUGUUUCGCGUUUCACGAAGCUCCGAAGCACUUUCUAAUCCACUAAACUUUGAUUUUAAUGAUUCUAAUGCCUAUAACUAAGUGUGAAUCACCAUAACAUGAAAUAAAACUUACCCGAGUAUCGUGAUUCACAUCGUGAGUUAUUUCUGCAUUCUUCGAAAUCUUGGAUUCUUCGAUCUUCGACGAUAUGCUCCGAACCCUUCAAGACUCCGACUCAAUUCACGAAACUUGCCAAUACAAAAAUACUUAACACUAUUAUUGUAUGCGAAUUCGGCCAUCGACAAAUGAUCGUGCCAACUACCCUUGUAGUUGAGUACACACGCCGAAAGCAUAUCCUUCAAAAUUUGGAUUGUCCUUUUCGACUGCCCACCACUUUGAGGAUGAAAUGCCGUACUAAAGUCGAGCCGUGUGCCAAGAGCAUCUUGUAAACUCUUCCAAAAAUAGGAGGUAAAUCGAGGAUCUCAAUCUGAUACUAUCGAUAUCGGAACCCCAUGCAAUCUCAUAACCUCAUCGAGAUAGACUUGUGCUAAUUUAUCCCUGGACCAAAUGGUGUGAAUUGGCAAGAAAUGUGCCGACUUCGUCAAACAAUCCACCACAACCCAUAUGGCAUCAUGUUCGGCUUGCGAUCGGGGUAAACCCACCACAAAGUCCAUUGCCACAUCUUCUUACUUCAGGUAGGCUUUGCAACUUACCCACUGGAAAUCGGCUCUGCGCCUUAACUUGCUGGCAUGUCAAACACUGCGCCACAAACUCCUCAAUAUCUUUCUUUAUCCCGGGCCACCAAUAAUGCACUUUAAGAUCUUUGUACAUUUUGAUGCCACCCGGAUGUACACUAUAUGGAGAUUGGUGCGCUUCCUAUAAUAUUGCCUUCUGCACUUCUUCGUCCUUUGGCACACACCAACGGUUCCGAAACCGAAAUGCACUAUCGGACCCAAUAUAGAAUUCACCGGCAUGUCCGCUCUCAAUAUCACGCUGCACCUUUUGGAGAUACGGAUCCAAAGCUUGUUGAUAUUUAAUCUUCUCCAACAAGGUCGGUUGAACAACUAACGAAGCAAGAAUAGCCGGAACUUCUAGAGCUACUACUUCCAGAUCAAACCGCCGCAUUUCAUUCAACAACGACGGUUGAAGUGUAAUAACCAUAGCAAGAUUUUUCACCGACUUUCUACUAAGUGCGUCGGCCACAACAUUGACUUUCCCCAGAUGGUAAAGAAUAGUGGCAUCAUAAUCGUUCAAUAAUUCUAACCACUGGCGUUGCCGCAUAUUCAACUCCUUUUGAGUGAACAAAUACUUGAGGCUUUUAUGAUCUGUAUAAAUCUCAUAUUGCUCACUAUAUAAAUAGUGUCUCCACAGCUUCAACACGAAAACUACCGCGGCUAACUCAAGGUCAUGAAUAGGAUAGUUCUUCUUAUAGCUCUUCAACUGCGAGAAGCAUAAGCAAUAACCCGUCUACAUUGUAUAAGAACACACCCAAGACCACUAUAGGAAGUAUCACUAUACACCACAAAACUCUCCCCCGGAAUUGGCAAGGCGAGUAUCGGAGUCGAAGUUAAUCUUUCCUUCAGCUCCCGAAAGCUUUUGUCACAUUCAUCGCUCCAAAUAAACUUCGCUCCCUUGUGGGUGAGGCACGUUCGUGGAGUGGUAAUUUUAGCAAAUCCCUCAACAAACCGCCGAUAAUAAUCCGCAAGACCAAGAAAACUGCGGAUCUCCGCAACAGUCGUCGGGUAAGGCCAAUCUUUAAUUGCCUCCACUUUUCUUGGGUCAACAGAAACUCCACCCUCGAAAAUAACAUGACCUAAAAAGGCGACCUUACGGAGCCAAAAGUCGCACUUCUUCAACUUCGCAUAAAGUUUCUUUUCUCGGAGAAUUUACAACACAGUUCUCAAAUGCUCCUCGUGCUCCUUAUCGCUUUGAGAAUAGAUCAACAUGUCGUCUAUUAACACCAUGACACAUCGAUCCAACAACAGCUUGACCACCCGAUUCAUCAGGUCCAUAAAUGCAGCAGGGGCAUUAGUAAGCCCAAACGGCAUCACUGUGAAUUCAUGAUGACCAUAACGGGUUCGAAACGCCAUUUUGUGAACAUCCUCCGGCUUGAUCUUCAAUUGGUGAUAACCCGACUAGAGAUCAAUCUUCGAAUAUACCCGAGACCCUUGCAAUUGGUCGAAUAGAUCAUCAAUCCAAGGUAACGGGUACUUAUUCUUAAUCACCACCUUAUUCAACUCAUGGUAAUCGACGCAAAGCGUCCCAUAUUUCUUUUUCACAAAUAGCACCGGAGCGCCCCAAGGCGACAAACUAGGCUUCACAAAGCUCUUGUCCAGGAGAUCUUGUAAUUGAGCUUUUAACUCCUUUAACUCCGCCGGUGCCAUUCGAUACGGAGCCUUCAAAAUUGGUGCCGUCCCGGGAACCAAGUGAAUGACGGACUCGAUUUCUCGGUCCGGUGGCAAUCCCGGCAACUCCGCGAGGAACACAUUUGGAAACUCACGAACAACCGGAAUAUCUCCAAGAGCCGGAAGUUCUUGUUGAGUCUCUACCACCGUCACCAAAUUGGCUACACAUCCACUAUUGAUCAACUUUCUUGCUCUCGACGCUGACACCGUCAUAGCAAAGAGCGAGCUUUUACACGCACGAUAUACUACCUCCUCUUGACCCGGCUCACGAAAAAUAAUUACUUUGCUUUCACAAUCAAUUACAGCAUAAUAUUUUGAGAGCCAGUCAAUCGCAAGGAUUAUGUCGAAGCCUUUCAUACGGCUAAACACAAACAAAUCCGCCGGCAUAAUCUAAUCGCCAAUUUGCACUGGACAAGCCGCACACUUCUCCUUAACACUAAAAGUGUGCUCAAGUGCAUACACCCACCAAGCAUCCGCACUCUCUGAAAUCUCGAUACCAUGAGUCUUAGCAAACGACAUACUAAUAAAUGAGUUUGAUGCACCAGUGUCGAAUAAUGCUCUAGCUCGAGUUUCAUUAAUUAAAACAAUACCUGCCACGGCAUUGUUGGCUACGGCAGGCUCCUCCGUCUGAGCAGCAAAAACUCGAUCCCUCGGCGUUGCUCGAGAUCCCUCUGACUAACGCGGCAAGGGUGGGCGUCCAGCUAACAUAGCGGGUGGCAAUCCUGCAAGCUGUCUCGGAGACUGAAUUGAUCGAGCUGACGGGGCCGGUGAUGCUCCACUUUGGCACUCUCGACUCAGGUGUCCAGCCUGGCCACACCUGUAGUACCUCCCCUCAUGCUGCGAACAACUCGUCGGUCGAUGGUCUCCACCGCAGAUGACACACCGAACAGAUCCCCGACUCUUCGACUGCGAUCGUGAUUGUCGAGGGGGCCGCUUAGAGUUCAACUAACCCCCUGAACCACUAGCCGCCUGCUUCUUGCCUUUAUCUUUUUCCUUUUCAAAGGACUCACACUCCUCCUGCGCGAUAGCAUUUCCUCGGUCCACCCAAAGAGCACGAUCUAACACUUCCUCAAAAGUCUUCAACUUGAGGGCAUGAAUCACCUUAAAUAUCUCGAGUCGCAACCCCCGCUCAAAACACUCCGCCCGGUCUCGGUCGCCAUGAAUCAACCCCGGGACCCAAUUCACCAAAUGUAAGAACUCUCGCUCGUACUCCCGCACGGUACGACUUUCUUGCCUCAGCUUGCGAAAGUCCUCCUUCAUCUUUCUUUUAUCACUGUCGGGGAAGUACUCCAUAAAUAGUAAAUCCCGAAACUCCUCCCAAGUCAUCGGAGGAAGAUCCGAAGACCGAUUCUUCUUAACACGCCUCCACCAAACUUGAGCAAACUUUUUGAAGCAAUGUGCGGCCAAGUGAACUUUGUCCUUCUCCAAGGUAUAAAUAUCCUCAAACAACACCUCCAUGGAAGUAAGCCAUGCUUCCAUCACCCAUGGGUCCGUCACCUCCCCGUCGAAAGUAGGAGGGUGAAAUUGCUUGAAGGUCGUCAACACCGCCAAUGACCGCUCCUGCUCGGCCUCUAGCGCGACUGCAUCAAGACCUAAAGAACCAGAAGCCAUCGAAGUAGUCGCCAAAAUAUUAGGCGUCGUCGCCGGCACCGCGGCUACAAUAGGGGCCAGUGCCAUAGGUGUAGGUGGGUCCUGACUCUCAGGUGCAGCCGCCGCCGCCUGUCGAGACACUACCUCUUGGAGCCUCUCGAUCUGCUUCUCCUGACGCUGCAUAGCUCCAACUAAUGCAGCCACUUGAGCACGGAGCUCCUGAACUUCAUCACAUCCAAAUUGCUCGGGCACCUCAAAAGGCGAUGCCGGAGUGGAUCUCAUCAUCGGACGUCGAAUUGGGACCAUUGUCUCCUGAAACAUAGCACCCAAAUUAAUACUCGACUCACGUUACACACCCGACGUCGCAACAACAUAUCCCGACCAAACCAAAUCAAGCGAAAGCAAUCAAGUGUACUUGUUCUCAUCCCUCGGCAUUAUGUUGUUGGCCGCCAGCAUAAUCUCUUAAGUUGAGAGCAAAUAACAACUUGGAUUAGCCCCUAUUUAUUAUUAGAGACACACUACCAACUAACCCAAUCCAUUUUGCUUUCGCUAUAAUCAAGUUCACGUUACUCGUGUCCUAUAGUCCUUAAGGUCUCCAAUCCUAAGGUCCCUAGGUCAGUCCUAGACUGUCACGCCCCGAGACUGCUACCAAUUUGGUCCGGUUCGGGCGCGUCGAACAGACGCCGAACGGACAGCAUCUCCCCUGUCCGCCCAAGGCUAAACAACCUGAUCAUGUACAAGAAUUUGCUCAGGAAUAGAAAUUCUAUACAUACACAAUUAACGAAGGGCACAACAAGCGCCAACAACUAAGAGUAAGAGUCACAUGUGCAUACAAGUGAACAAAAGAGAGAUCUACUAGCUAUUACAUCCAUUGCAUUCAUUUACCUUAAGUUACAUUUACAUCUUUUCUAAAAUGGAUACAUGUUUACUAGAUCAUCACCAAAAUACAUCAAUAGCUCUCCAAUCCUCACCUACAUAAAUCACUCGUAUACAUAGGUGCUACUAAUGCAAAAGGAAAGCUACUAUACUACUGCUCGGGCGCUAUACCCUUGCCGCGGUCCUCGCCCGGCGUACGCAAACUAGGCCCUACAACAAAGUGGGGUGAGAACUAUUGUCCAUAGUUCCCAGCGGGUUUGGCCGCCGACUCCGCCGAUCUCCCCACUAGGUCCGAGUGGGCAAAAGCAGGUAGAUAGAUAGAUAGAUAUGAAAGCGGUAAAUGACAUAAUAAGAAAACUACGCUACUAUGCCCAAUCAAUAAUCAUGUACGCAUUCAUCAUAUAGUGAGUAAUUAACUAACAUGCAACUAUGUCCACUAAUAAUGUCCAAUAAGCAUAUGUUCAAUAACAGUGCUAUUCUCUUGUUUACUCAAUCAUUGGCGAUCCCUUGGAUUCGCCCAUGACUCACCUCGCCAUCCCGUAUGGUAAGGAGACUCACCUCGCUCUCAAAUCUGGGACCGUCUGCGGGACCUCAACUCUGCCCCUCUCGCGCCAAACUCCGGAGUGCACGACGACUUGUGUGGCGGGACCACCACAAGUAUAAACAGACUGUGAUUAUGAUCCAUCAUCUCAACUCGAGGAUACCCUAUCAACUAGAGCUAGUUGUCACUCGGGAAUUCACCUAUCCCAAUGUCCAUAUGUAAGUACUUGACUACACUAUGUUCUUUGCUCAACGAGUCAUCACUAGGGAGUUCACCUAUCCCUAAGUUCAUAUGUCACUAGUGUCAUUAUACACUACAUUAUAUGCCACUCGUUCUGUUCAUUUGUCAAGCACAUGCCACUCAUUAUGUCACUAGGUAACCAUCGAGUCCAUCUCUUUUCCUCGGCACUAUAGGAUUCAAUGUCAAGACCCAAUCCUUAUCUAUCCAUUAUACCAAGUAUUCAACUCACACUAUGAUAUCAAUUAGAAAGCAUAAGAAAUGGAAAACAAUGCAAUACUACAAUGCAAUAUGCCAGAGAUGCAAAAUCAUGGNAUUAUGUCACUAGGUAACCAUCGAGUCCAUCUCUUUUCCUCGGCACUAUAGGAUUCAAUGUCAAGACCCAAUCCUUAUCUAUCCAUUAUACCAAGUAUUCAACUCACACUAUGAUAUCAAUUAGAAAGCAUAAGAAAUGGAAAACAAUGCAAUACUACAAUGCAAUAUGCCAGAGAUGCAAAAUCAUGGUGUACUAAGACAUAGAGAGGAACCCGGUUGCUUCGGGAUGACACCACCUACCUUUCGACGAUGUCGAGGCUCUAAGAACACUUCUCGGCACUUACUACGAUGUCGUCUUGGCCCCCAAGGUGGAAACAAAGCCCAAUCGGUCUUGUUUUGUCGAUAUCUUUUCAACGACUCGACGAAUCGUCAAUCUGUCUUCGCCAACGUGUUUAGACACCUAGCAAUUAAGUUUAGAUGCUAUCAAUUGAGAUCAAACCUCACUAUUAGGCAAAACCCCAAUUUGGAGCCCUAGGUUUGCAUCUAGGCAAAAAGCCCCAACAAAGCUCUAGAUUCUAGCAUUAAACCUCCAUUAGGUGUGCUAGUGAUCCAAUCAAACCAUUCCUAGAGCUAAAAACCCAAACCCUAGCAAGCUACCAUGAAAGGGGUUCAUAGCUUACCUCCAAGCUAGCUCCAAUGGUGUGGAGAGGAAGAGGGAGAUGACCAAGGCCCCUUCUCUAGCUUGCUUCUCCUUCUUCUCCACCUUCUUCUCCUUCUUUUCCUUCUUCUCCUUCUUUACUUCAUGAGAGGGAGAGAGAGAGCUUAGAGAGAGAGAGAUGUAUGUGUUUGGGUGGGAAAAUAAGAGGGAGAGAGGGUGAUCUCCUCUCUAUACCCCCAACUAAUGCAAAAUUGCAUCCAAGCCCCUCAACUUUGCACUCUGUGCACUGCCCAACCUGGGCAAUUUUCGUGCUCGGGGACCGGUCUGUCCCUAGAGGGACUGGUCCUCGAGAGCAACCCUCGUGGGCAGAGGCUCUUAGCCAGCUUCUACGCGUACGGGGACCGGUCCUCGCCUGAGGGACCGGACCUUCAAGGACCGGUCCCCCCUCGAGGGACCGGACCCCGAGAGCAAACAUCGCGCGCAGAGUUUUCUGCCGCACAUUCAGCUUACGGGGACUGGUCUCUCCCGCCAGGGACCGGUCCCUGAGAGCAAUUUCUGCCAAGUGCAGAUUUUUGCACAGCUUGCUCUCGUGGAUCUGUUGCAAUGCACUUUUCGGAUUUUCGACUUCUUCGGCUUUUCCGAAGCAUACCCACUCGACAAUUAGUCGAUUUUAAUCAAAGUCCAACUCUCGAAUUUCGAGAAUUUACUUCCUUACAUAGACUUUCACUUUCACGCUCUUAUACCAUUAUAUCUGUCACCCCCCGUGACUACCAAUUUGGCCGGUUCGGGCAUGUCCAUAGAUGCCAAACGGACAAGACCUCCCCUGUCCGCCCAAGGCUCAACAACAACCACAUGUAUAGCCAUUGCAUACAUAGAAAAUUUUUGUAGUACACUGAACUUCAGCAAACUGCAAGGUUCUAGUGUUAGAAUAGUAAUUGAAACUAUUCUAGGAUUUGUGAGGAUUUGUCGAGGGCACUUAGGCAUUUAAUUUAAGUGUUUUAAAUGCCAGGUCAUGUACAUAACACUAAAGUCUGUAAAGUUUAGAUUGGGGUGUUGAGGACUCAGGUACCGGUACCCUAGAGGGCUUACCAGGUGCGUAGCUUUCAGGUUUGAGUAGCUGAAGCUGAGUACCGGUACAGCAUUGCGCGGGUACCGGUACCCAGUGUUAAAAUUUGCUACGCAGCUCUCGGGUUUGGCUGUUUAUAGGCCGAGUACUGGUACCUCAACCCAAGUACCGGUACCUCAACCUAAGUACCGGUACCCAGUGCGGCAGAUUGAGUUGGUAAGGGGUUUUUUGGUAAUUUCAUAGUGAUGGUUAUCCAUUUAAACCCCAGCUCGACCUUAGCUAAUGUUUCCUGUGCUAGAGCUUGAGGAAAAACAGGGUAAGCUCUACUCUUUCUCUCUUUAGGGUUUAUUCCAUUUUGAGUGGAAAUUAGUAGAUUUGAGCUAGUUUCUUUACUUCUCUUGAUGCUAGUUGGUUUGGAGAGUCUUGGAGCAGCCGUAGAAGUGUGGAAAAAAGAGUUUUGAGAGUGAUUCUUCAACCCUAACUCAGGUAUAACCGAGUUGGAGCUUGGGAAGGUUAGUAAUCUAGCUUUUCUCUAGUAUUGAUGUUAUUGGUAGUAGUAUUGGAACUACUUUAGAAUAGUUCACGGCUGAAGUUGUGGAACUUAUGUUGGAUGUUGUUAACUCUCUUUUAGGUUGGAAUUUCAGUUGCCAACCUAAGGUGAAGUGGAGAUUAAGCCUUGGUUCAAUACUAAGUAAGAUUCUACCUAAGUUAGGAGAACUUGUGAGGUUCUUAUUGGAAGGUUUGAGUACUAACUUAGUAUGGUUGUUAGGGUGCUGGGAGGCUAGAGAGUACCUUCGCUCGCAGGAGCGACAAGAGUUGACAGCGAUUCGGUGGGUUUGACCUCACCGAAAUGGGUGAAUUCCCCCUAUGUUCUUAUUCUUGACAUAGAGUUAGAAUUAUGCAUAUGUUUACUAGCGGCAUCAUAAGCGAGUUGUUGGCAGUAAUAGUGGUAUUUACAUCAUAUAGCAAGUUAUACUCUAUGUAGUAGAGAGCUAAAGGUGUUAAAUUCCUUGCAUGAUAACUAGUAUACUUGUGUAGACAAGUCGGGAAUGGAUAUAAUAUGCUUAGACUAGCAUGAUGUUUAGACUAGCAUGAAUUUCAUAUGGUUGUUAUAACCUAAUUGAUAACUAGCAUUUAAUAUUGGACUUAGAUCCCGACCUAUAGGUUGGUAGAGGACAUUCCAUGUUUGAGACAUGACGAUUGAGAACCCUGUAUCGUGGAUUCGCACAUGCUUGUGAGGGUCGCUCCCCACAAGCCGGCACUCCGGAGUUGGCCUACGCGACAUCAUGCGCGCCUUUGCGGGAUUAGGUGCCUAAGUGGAUUGCCGUGGGGAGUGUAUACUACCACGUGGCCAUUAUAAAUUGAACAAAGAUACUAAAUUGAACAAAGAUACUAAAUUGUAUUAGUACAAUGGUCAUUACUAGAUAGUUUGCAUUUAUGAGAUGAUAUAGCAUGCUUACUCAUAUAGAGUAGUUCCUUUAUCUGUUGCUUACUGAUAGUAGCAUUAAAGGCAUUAUAAUUCUAUUGUUCACUAGUUGUUUAUUGCUCACAUCAUGUUAUAGUCAUACAUGCUUUCUAUUUAUAUAUCAUGAACCUAGUGGUGUAAUUCGCUGAGGUCGGCGGCUUAUCCACUAGGAACUGUUAACUAAUAGUUCUCAUGCCCUAUUUGUUGUUGUUUUUUUACAGAGCCAUCCACAGCGGGAGAGGCUAGGGACCGCGGCAAGGGAGUCGCGUCUAGCUAGGCAUAGCUUGGAGUCGCACUAGGUGAUCACCUCUCUAUUUUGGAUGUCUCAGUGAGGAUGAUAUGCUACCUUCGUAUAGAGACUAUCAUAUGUGUAUAUAGUUGGUUCCUAUGACCGUGUGAUGUAUGAGUUGUUAGAGAGUUGUAUUUGCAGUUUUAUAUUCUUGCUUGCUGUUGACUUUAGUGGAUUUUGUAUAUUUUACGCUCUGGCUUUUAGUGCAUCUUGGACAUUAUAUGCUCUAAUACCAUGUUAGACUUUUCUAUUUAUUGUUACUUAUCUAGCAUGGUCUUGGUAGACGCCUUGUAUGCUUUGGGUAUAUGGCGAGUCUGUGCAUGUACCGGGUAGGCUUUCGCUGGAAUCCGGGCGUGACAAUUUUGGUAUACACGGCUUGCUUGAAGGCAAGCAACAACAACUAAAGUGAAAGUAAGCUAACUACCAUUACAACAUCCAUUGUACUUUGCAAGAUUGAAACAAAAUACAAAGUUUGAUACUUCAUUACAUCGAGGUUCCAAAUUACAUCAUAUAUUCUUCAAAUACAUACAUCAUUCUUUCUAUAUAGUUCAUUCAUCCAGUACAAAAGAUGAAUCUCAAAAGGGUACAAUACUAAACUCGACAGAGGCCCGCUACCUAGGGCGCAAUAUCCUUGCCCCGAUCCUCGAUCGCCCCGCUCGCGUUAGAAUCUGUAAGGUUAGUGGUGUGAGAACUAAUGAAAGUUUCCAGUGGGUUCGGCUGCCGACCUCGCCGACUCACCCACUAGGUCUACUCAGGUAUAUGUAGGAAAGAAAAGAGAUAUAGUAACCAGAACUAAUGCUACUACAAUGGCUAUACAAAACUGGAAAGAGAUACUAUACUCAUGAUGCUUGCAUGCUUUUUUACCUUUACCCAAUCCACUUGUUUAACCCUUUGGUUAAACCUCAACUCACCAAACCAAAUUCCUUUUGUUGGGAAGAAUACCGCUACAACCUGACAUGACCGUCUGCUGGGGAGAAUUCCACUACAAACCCAGUUGAUGACACUUCGGAGCUUACCGCCCAAGGUAGAGCGACCUGUAUCGAGCAUUCAGACUACCUGUGAGUACAAUCCUCAUCUGAAGGAUACCAUGCCACAAUCUUAACAAGCUCUUUAUUCUAUGUUUAGCAUUUCCAAUUCUAGAUGCUAACCAAUUCAUCUCAUUAUAAUGCCACAAGUUCAUUUUCCUUGUCAAGCAUUUCCCAAUCCUAGGUGCUACUAAUGCUAUCUAGUCACAAUGUCACUUGUUCACUAGUGUCAUAGUUCAAUGCUUCAUACAUCUAUAGGAUUUCUAUGUUCAUCAUCUAUAGUUCACAUAUUCUUUGUUUCCAACGCAUACAAGAUUGCACCAUUACCACAUAUGUCACAUUUACCCUAUAAUGCAUGAAUCUACUAUACUCAUACAAUAUGCUCAAGAAGUAACUAGACAUAACGGGUUAUUCGAAGACUUUGGAUAGCGCCACCCACCUUAUAAUGAUGCUGGAGUGCGAGAAAAUCACUUCCCGCGAUUUAUGGUCGAACACUCCUCUCGCCCCACGACAAACGAAGCCGAAACGAAGUUUUUCCUCAAUAACUUGGUGUCGAUUUGUUGGAACCUCGAUCUGAGCUCGAGCCUCCCAAUACGUCGGUUUAUACUCUAAUUAAGGCUACAAGAGAUCAAACUUAAGUUAGAUCUCAUAGAUUGCAAAAUCCCAUUUUUUCCCUUACGGUUCAUACGAGACACCCAAUAUAAUCUAAGUUUGAGAUCAGACACCCAAUAUAAUCUAAGUUUGUAGGAUCUCAUAGCAUAAUCAAGCUCUAGAAAUCCUAAAGACUACAAAACCUAACCAUUUAGGGUAUAAAACCAAACCCUAAUCAAGAAGUUGCAAGAAACCUGCCUCAGGUUCUUGCUCCAAGAAGUCCUCCUUGUCCAAGAGCGUCUACUUCACCAAAAUCCUCAAACUCUAACUUUAAUUCUCCUUCAAUUCGACCAUGGAGUAGAGUUCUCUAGAGAGACAAGAAGAAGGAGAUGAGGUUUGGAGGAGAAAACGAAGUACUUUCUACAUGAGAAGUACAGGUGUAGAGGUGGGGUAUUUAUAUAGGCCUGGACAAUUGCAAUUAAGCCCCCAAAUAAACCCCCAUCAAUUAUUACAAACAUGUCCUUCCAAGUCUGGCUAUCGGUACUUGGGUUGUAGUACCGGUACUAAAGACUUCUAGUACCGGUACCCGACAGCAAUACCGGUACCAAUCCUCCAACUCGAAGCUACACAAAUUCCUGCACGCUUCGCAGUACCGGUACACAAGACCAGUACCGGUACACAGCCUCGUACGGUCCGGAUCCCGAGAGCUGUAUCAACACACACUAGGUGGGUACCGAUACUACAUCACUCUGGUACCGGUACCAAGUGCAAAUUUUGCACUUUAAUAGCAUAAUUGCUCCGGGACUUCGUUUUCGCACCCGGUUUGCGCCGAAUACCCCUAAACAACUUCGUAACUCAUUUCUAACCAUCCCCACGCCUCCGAAAUGAC
rnacentral:lncRNA from 1 species